CUUUUUUUUUUCUUCUCGAGUAUAAUUUUAAUUUAUAUGUUAAAUGAUAUCUAAUUUUAUAAAUCUCGGACUCAUGAUGCACCAUAUUUGUUAUAAAUAUAUCACUCGUGGCUAUUUAAUGUAAAAGAUUAUUGAUUCUUUAAUUAUAGCUAAUUAUCAAGUGAAAUAGCUCCAUGUUUUGGAUUAAGGGUCUGUUUGGAGUGUUGUUAAAAAUUGCUGUGUGGUCAGAAAAAGUGCUGGGAAAACAAGUGCUGUUAUAGAAAUUAACUGUUUGGUUUUUUUUUUUUGAUAUUUACUUAUUUUGAGUUAUAAUUUAAAAAUAAUAAUUUUUUGAUGAGGUUUGAUAAUGUAAUCUGUAUAAUGUAAUCUGUAACAGCUUCCUGCAAAAGCUGAAAACAGCUUUUUCCAAACACAUGGAAAAAAGGCCCUGAAUAACCAGAUUAACCAAGCUAAUGCCCAAAAUAACCAUUUUCAAAAAGUUGGCCCUGAAUAACAAGUAAAGACGUAUGUGAAGUAGCGUUUUUAACUUGUAAUAAGACGCUACUUCGUGUAACGUUUUAUAAUUUUGUAAAAGAUGUAAACGCUACACGAAGUAGCGUUUUACAUUUUUUAGGCCCAAGCCCAAGACUAGCUACUUUUGUUUCUUUUUGUUUUUUUAAAAAUAAUUUUGAUCACCUUAGAUAAAAUGAUAAUUGGAACGUAAAUUAACAGUUGUUAAUAUUUUAGGGUUCAUAUUAGAUUUUAGAAUAAUUUAUUUAUAUUUAAAAUUAAAUUGACCGAUAAUUAGGGUUUAUAUUUGGGUUUUAGAAUGAUUAAUUCAUACUGUAUAUUAAAUUGGCCGACGGUUAGGGUUUAGGAUUGAGGGUGUAGGGCCGGUAGGCCCUACUCCCUCGAGCCUAAACCCUAAUUAAGCGAGGCUGAAGGGCCGAAGGCCCUGAAGCCGAGACGCCGGCGGAAUAAAUAAAUUUACAACCGUUAACAUUUAGGGUUUAGGUUUGGCUUGCAGAAUGAUUAAUUCAUACUGUAUAUUAAAUUGGCCGACGGUUAGGGUUUAGGAUUGAGGGUGUAGGGCCGGUAGGCCCUACUCCCUCGAGCCUAAACCCUAAUUAAACGAGGUUGAAGGGCCGAAGGCCCUGAAGCCGAGACGUCGGUGUAAUAAAUUAAUUUACAAUCGUUAACAUUUAGAGUUUAGGUUUGGGUUGCAGAAUGAUUAAUUUAUAUUUUAAGUUAAAUUGACUGACGGUUAGAGUUUAGCACUGGCUUUAGAAUAAUUAAUAUUUGAGAACAAGAAAACAAAACAAACGCCAAGAGAAUUAGCGUUUUAAUUUGUAACAAAAGAGAAACGCCACAUGAGUUGACAUUUGAUUUUUAAAAGCCAAGCAUUAAACGCUAGUAUGAAUAGCGUUUUUAGAUGUAAAAGCCCAGCCCACUUCCAGGUGAUCCACUAAAACCAUAAACGCUAAUUUGAGUAGCGUUUUUCUUUUUUAUAAAAAAAAUAAAAAACUUUAAACGCUACACGAUGUAGCGUUUUUGUUUUAAAAACAAAAACGCUACACGAGAAGUGGUUAGUGAGGGCCAUGUUUCGGGUAUUUUGUUAUUUUGGGCAUUUUCACCCUAAAUCUGGUUAUUUGGGGCCAAAACCCAAAAACAUGGGAGGACCUGCUUUUUCUAAAAGCAACUUUUCAGCUAAAAACUGUUGUUCAGAAAAGCUGUUUUUAGAUUUACCAAACAGUUUUUCACCUGUUUUUCAGCAGCUUUUCAGCAAAAAACUGAUGUUGCUGUCUACAACGGCAACCCCAAACAGUACCUAAAACGAAGUUUUAUCAAGUUCUUUUGUUAAACUAAAGCCGAAACCGAGGUGACAUUAGGGCUAGGUUACAGAGCCCCGAUUUGUAAGAGAUGGUUUAAAAUUAAUUAACCUAACAUUAAAAAAAAAUAAAAAUUACUGCAGCCUUCUGGCAAGCCAACAAUCCUAGAUAAACAGCAAGAAAAUUGAUGAUUAAUCAAAGUUCCACAAUUACAGAGAGGCUACAAGGACUUAAAUCAACAACAAUGAACAAAUCAAAUGUCCACUGGACGUAAACUAACAAGAGAGACCUACACCUUCACACUUCACAGGAUGUACCCAUGGCCUGGCAAAAAAACAAAUCAAAUGUCCACUGGUCGUUUUACUAUAAACACUCAUCUACAAGAGGAUGAUGGUACAUAUAUCAUAUAUGAAACAUUCACUGCACACAGGAAUUAGAAGGCAAUAAUUGCUCCUCUGUGCAUAUAGAAUAGAACCCCAAAAAUGUCCAAAAGAUAGACUUCUAAUUAAUUUACUUUCGUUGUUCUAUCUUUACACAGCAUAUGCCAUUCCUGCAGUACCGCCGCUUGAAGUGCAUGACUCUCAACCUCCUCAGCAGUUAAUUUGAACAAAGUUGUAGGUCCCUUGGGCUUACCAUUUUCUUUGCCAUUUUCCUUGACUUCAGUUGAAUCUUCUUCGUCAUCAGUCUUUUCUUCCUCUUCGUCAUCAGAUUUUGGCAUCUUUGGUGGAGGCUUAGCUGCCUUAAGCAAAGCGAUGCGUUCCAUUGAUACUUUUAGUCUCUCAGCAGCAACCUCCUUUACUUCCUCUUCUGGCAUGUAUUCAACACCCCCAUCAGUAAGGUCAUCCAACCAAGACUGUAGAUCUGACUCAAUCUCUUUGGUGAUUGAUGCAUCUGAAGCGCGAACCACGAAUUUGCACAACAUAGUCGUUGUCUCGUCUCCCAAAUCCACAUUUGUGCUCACUUCACUAGCACCAAAAAUCAUCAUACCCAAGAAGCCUCCAUACCAUGUCUUUGCCGCAUAGCAUAGCUAUUCAGGACCAGAAAUGAAAAAGUAUUACAAAGUCAAUUGAAAAAAGUCCCAAAAAGCUGCAUGAUAUAGCCAGUGAAGGGAUGCAAGUAUAAAAAGGAGGUACAAUUUGUAAUCUGGAUACUUGGAUUUGUCAACAAAUCUUGAACUUUUAUCAACCUUAACCUACUAAAGUUUUUUGACUGAUAUGUAACCUUUUUUGACUGAGAGCAAACUUUAACUUGCCCACAAUUAAAGUGUGCUCUAACAUUAAAAUAUUUAGUCAGGAGUGAGGAGUAACAAGGUACUAGUAAGUAUAGCUAACUAACUAUGUAAAACUAAUUCACAAUAGACACAAUGGAGUUUAGGCCUCAAUUUGCACUGUUUAUGCCUCAACUAAACUUAUAAGCAAACAAAAGACGCACGACAAAUCACACCUCAUAAUCAAUGCAAUUUGAGUUAGAUCUGCAUAAUGAUCUACUGCUAAGGAAAAAAACAUGUAGAGAGACAUCCAAGAAAAUUAAAAAAAAAUGUUUAUAGCUUUGCUAAUUUUUUAAAAUUGUUGUAGGAUAUGUUUGACAAUGACUUCCUAAAUAAUACUCAUAGUUACCAUAUAUUACAUAUAUUGCGGUCAGGCUUUAGGUUGUGAAUGCAGGUUAAAGUCAGAUGCCUAAGAGCUACAAUCUACAACUAAUCUUACAACAGAAAUGGAAAACUGUUGCCAGAUAAGCUGUCAUCACUAACAGCAAUGUACCUGAAACCCAGCUACUGUUCUGAUGAUGUGGGAGCAAACUCUAUGGAAUGGCUUGGAAGAUAAGGAUUUUAGUCCACUUAAAAAAGGUGAAGACCCGUAUUGCUGUGCAGCGGUAGCCUUAAAUCCACUCCCUUCAUAUGUGUAUGUACCUGUGUAUUCUACAAUAGCUGGUAAACUAGGCCAUAGCCUAAAGUAUUCAACUGGAGAGAUAUUGUGCGGCAAAAGAAGCUCAGUCAGUGGAAUCUUAUAAGGCUGACAACGUAAAAUCACAGGUUCUCCGGUUUCAGUCUUCAAGCUUCUCUUUUGUCUCAUAACUUGUGGAUCCUCUUCAGUAUAGUCCCCUUCAUACUCUCCAGGAGCACCAGUCCCGUAAAAAGGGUAAUACAAGACUUGAACCCAAAGGGCAGACCUCUCAAAAUGUGAAACACCAAGAGUCACGCUGCACAGCACCGGAUCCUGCAAAUAAGCAUAUAAUAUGUAAGAGUAAGAUAUACUAAUUAUGAAGGACAGUGCAAAGAAUCAGACAUCAACAUCAGGCAUAAUAUCAUCUUCUUUUUUUUCUCAUUUCCUUCUGAUAAGCCUGAAAAGUCUAGUAUUCCCCCAUGCUAGACAUGUGAAUGUAAUCAAUUGUAAACUAAUCCUGUAGACAAGUUUAGCUUCUGAUCUAACUGUGAAAUUGACAAUCUAUGAAACCCCUCCAUAGAAGUCACUUCAAUUACUGUUUGCAAAACAUCCAAAUACUCAUUUCAAUGAACAUAAAACAUUAAAUUUGAAUUUUGAUAUAGAAGGCAUGGAAAAACUUUUCAAAACAGCAAGUGAAUUCCAGAAAAACCUGCGAAUUGAGAUUGCGCAACUGCCGAACUGCUUGUGGUGAUCCAUCCAUAAAAACCAAUGGACCAGAUAGCCCUACCCUUAUAUCCACCCGGUUUAGUUCAAUAUCCGUCAAAUUUAAUACCUGAAUAAAUUUUGAAGGUCAGCACCUAGAAGCUUUAAAUUUCUCAAGAGAUGUUUAACAGACUAAUAACCAUAUAGCAUACUGUAAACAAAUUAAACGGCUGAUAAUAACAGCAAUCAAUGUUCAGCUACUUUAUGUGCCUUAUCAAAUUUACGAAAUAUCACUGUAUAUAUUAAAGGCUUCCAAUUAGUUCAUCCACUAAGUAACACUAUCUAUAUGUUGCACAGUGUUUAGAGGUAAAAUCUUCGCCAGUAGUUUUAUACAUUUUUAUAGCUUCUAUUUAUUUUUAUAACAUGUGCAUCUAUAAAAUAUAUAUUUGCAUCUUAGCCGGAGAAAAGAGAACAUAAUACUUAUAAAAUUUUACUAAUACAAUUAUGGAUAACUAUGAUACAUCCCAAUGUCACAUCACCUUGGCAUACAGUUAGAUGCAAAAUACAGCAAAGCAUAUUCAGAAUGGGACAGAGGUGAAUAGAAAGCAAAACAAAUAUUUACUUCUUUUAUACUUUGAUACAUAGCUAAAUUUAAAAUAAGUAUGAUCAUAUUCGUUUCCAUUGUUUUAUCCUACUGCUACUAUUUUACAAAUUCAAAAGUUUUAGCCAUAAAAAAUCUCAAAGUUAUUCCAUUUUUUGUUCCGCUAUUACUACAAAUUUACCCAGUUUGAACUCUGAACUAAUUGGCUCAACAGAAAGGCCAAAUCAGAAAAUGCGAGGAAGACUACUUUUCAACAUGAUAAAAAUAUGAUUGAUAUAUAAGCAUCUAGCUACCUGGUAAGAUAACAAAUACGUGCCCAAAUUUUACCUAUUACUAAGCAAUGCCGCGUAUAUAAAGUAUGUCUCAUGUGCCAGGAUUAUCUUUUAAACCCGUCCUUAAGUGAAGCUAUUCCGACAAAGGUCCAAAGCUAAGUUACCCGGACUCGGGUACGGGUGUCGGAUACGGGUGCGGAUCCAAGUUUCAGACUCUUAGUUUUUAAAAAAUUAGGAUUCGUGGAUAUGGAUCCAAAAUUGGACACGGGUGCGGGGAUUCAGCAUAUAACCUUCACAUAAGCGAAAUUAUACCUACUUUUGAUACAUUACAUUUGUAUAUACGUGUCUUCUACCACAUAAAGUAAACACCAAAGAAGCUUGAUCCUUUGCAAUGGUCAUUCUAAUUAAGCAAGUACCAUAAAACUAAAAGCUUAUGGCAUUCUUGCCUUCAUCAGACAACCUUCCCAGUGCCUUCUAAUACAGAUAUGAAACAGAAAACCAGAAUAUUCUUGGAGCUUAGGUUCAUCCUAUGGUAUUUUGUUGGCACGCACAUAGUGGAUGAACGCCUCAGUUAAAUCAGCCUAUUUAAAUUUGGAACAGACUCAGGGACUGUAAAUGUCAAGGUUGUAGUUGAUACUAUGAGAACUGGGUGAAGAUAAACAAUUGUUUAGGGUUCUGUGGUGGCUACCUUAUUACUCUCAUUUCAGAGUUCUUUCUAGAUGUAGCCUAAAAUUAUAGAGGGCGCUAUAUAAUACUUCUCCAAAGAUACCUUCCUGUGUCUAGGACUAGGAGAGGAGCUCAUGAUCAGUUAAACGGUCUAGGCAUCCAGGAUAGUUAUGGGACAUGUACAAACUAAAUUAAAAAAAGCAAAUUCACACUACACAGACAUGAAGGAAUUUUAACCUUUAAGUGUAAAGUGAUUCUCCCAUCAUUUGAAUCUGUCAAAUGAUAUGCUUCAACAUAGCAAGGAUCACUGCUACCACUUAAAGUAGAUGCACUUGGAGGGACCUUGAGUAGAGAAGAAUCUAUUCCUUUUGUCAAUAAAAGAGUUAACUCGCUAGGAUCCGGCCUCCAUAAUUCCAAAAUCGCCUUGUGAACCAAACCUUCCAGCUUUCGAUCCUGAGCUGCUGCUGGUUCAUAAAACUGAACAGUUAGUUUGUGAUGGCUGAAUGGGUAGUCUCCUCUAGCUUCGCUAACUCCAGCCCACCUGAAACAAAUAAAGACAACAUGUGUAAUUGUAGAAAAGAAUUUUAAUUUUUCCUAGUAGAAUAUACAUCCAACAUUUAUCUGGAUUAUCAGGAUCAGAUAAGACCAUAAAAUUAGACAUUGAAAAGGAAAAUUUGUUUUGUCAGGAACAUAAGAAUAUUCCAAGUUCUACCCCAAAAAUCCUCUAUGCAUGACAAAGACACAGGCAUUUACUACUAGCAAAAGAAGAAAGGAAGGGCACCUUAAUGACAAAUAAUAAUCAUGCCACAGUACAGUAUAAAAGCAGGCAAUAAACCAAAAAAUGAGGAAGGAAAUACAAACUCACUUGCUUUCUGGAUGAUUCAAAAUAUAUUUUAUUCUUUGUAAUAUCAAACGAGAUUGAUGCUUGUUGACAGAAUCAGCCACCCCAUCAGUCCUAAAUUCUUCUAGCUCUUUAAUCAUCAACUGUCCUGCCCUAACAUUACGUGACCCAAGACGUUGAGCACACAAAAGCACAGCUUGAACAUCCUGAAGCCUAUUAGAUGUAAUUGCAGAAGAGUCGAGGUUAAACAAAACUUUAUGCAUAUUUGAGAUGAUGAUGUUUAGCGGAUCCUCAGGGUCAUCAGCAAGAAGUGGAUCCAAACCUUCUAGAUCAAUGUGUUCAGCAAUAACCCAAAUAAGACGAGCACAAACUCUGGGAGUAUUUACCUGCCAGAUGGUUGGUCAAAUUAAUAUCAUUAAUAAGCAUUUACCUUCCAGAUGGUUGGUCAAAUUUAUAUCAUUAAUAAGCAAACAUAUAGAUAACAAUAUAUACAAGCAGGUCGGCAAUUAAUCGGGACGAAUAUAGGCCAGAUAGAACUUUUUCAUAAAUAUAAGUAAAAGCAUAAACCUGAGAAUUAAUUCCAAAUUUCCAACUGAUAUAGUGAAAUUAAAAAUAGCCAGUUUCUAAGAGGUUCAACUGAUUUAAAAUUAUCAACUUGGAAGAAUAACAUAAGAACUUGCUUUUCCAGCUAACUUUAUAGUUUACCUCAUUAAAGAAAAUAGACAUUAGUAGAUGGUGGCAAGGGGUACAUACAAAUCUAGCUUCUAAAAAUGUCGACCCCCAUAAAGGUUGGACCAGAUUUCUUAAGACUACAAUUUUUAGAAACCUUCGCGUGAAGAAAUAAGGGAUACUACGAUACUGACAUUUUUCCAGACACAGUGUUCUACAACAAAUUACGUCUGCUGCAGGAUGAGAAAUUACCUAUACAUGCGUUCCGAAAGAUAAAUACCUUUUUAACUUGCACCAGUUUGGUCAAAUAAAUAAAUAAUACUACCAAACUUGUAGAGUGAAGACAGGCGAGGUAAUUACAGAGUCCCAACUGUUUAGCAUUUCAAUUACAACUAGAAGACAAUACUUUACCAACACAGGCACCCUAAUAUUAUGAAGUACCUUACAACUAAAAAAUCUUAGCUAGGAAUAUCAGCUUAUUGGAACAUUUAACGUAUGGAAGGCCACUAACCUCGCGCAAAGCUUGGAUAAGUUCACGUUGCAAAUUCUGUAGGCGUGUCUCGUUUAGGAUCUGAUCUUGAGAAGCACCAUCUUUUACUCUCUUAACACCUCCCCUUGUAUCAUAAAUAUGGCAAAGCCUAACUAGCAACUUCAAGUAGCAAUCAACCGCAUAUGUUCUACCCUCGCAGUCCCAUUUUACACAGGGUCUACACACUUCCACCACCUCCAAAGCCGGCUCAGUCCAAUUUAAAGCACCGUAACCAGUUCCAUAUGCCAAUGCUCCAAUUACUCGGCUCUCCAUACCUGAACUCUUCUGUUCAGGCAAUGGCAAGGAUAGCUGAAAGCAGCUUUCUACCAAUGUUGCGACUAGUUCUUCUCUAAAUAAACUUUUGCUGGAUACAUUAUUAAGAUCGUCUUUAAUCAUAACAUCUUCAAAUAGUGAAGCAAUAUCUGUCCCUUGAAGAGGUUUUUGUCCUCUGCGGACGUUUUCUUUUGCGAAAAGAUCAACACAAAGAGCAGUUCUACAUAUGCAUGCUAAAGCGUGCAUGCGGUCUGAUUCUGCCCUUAAAUUUUUCACCAUGAGAAGCAAUCUUUUGAAUAAGGAAACCUGUGGUAAUAAUGCUCAAAUUGUCAAGCAGCUACAUUAAAAAAAUUAACAUUGUAAUCUAUGUAUGUGCAAGGAUGUAAUAUGAUUUUAUGAAUCUUAUUAGUCUUAGAGCUCGUUUGGGUAAACUUAAAAUAAUGUCUUGUGACUUGAAGUGGUUUAAUAUGAUAAGUUGGCAACGAAAAUUUUAAAUUAAUAUUUGUUGAAGUAAUUUUACAAUAUACGUAACUUAUGAGUUAUUAGGAAUGUAAUAAAAAAAAUAAUAAUAAUAAUAAUAAUAAUAAUAAUAAUAAUAAUAAUAAUAAUAAUAAUAAUAAUAAUGAAUAUAAUACAGUGUUCAUUUGAAUGAUGACAUAUAUUUUUUUAUUUUUUAUUUUGUAAGGAUGACGUAUAUUUUUUUAAUCAUAUAGAAUUAUUUUAAAAAAAAAAACAUGUUGGAAAAAGUACCUCAUAUUAACUUAUGGCUUAAGCUGUUUUAACUUUAAGUCAAUUUCAAACUUGUUAAACAAACCAACAUUUUCCAACUCAAAGUCGAAAUGGCUUUAAGCCCGGGACCAUAAGUCUGGCCAAACAGGCUCUUAUAUAUGUAUCAUAUAGUCCUUAAGCUUGAUCCAGCAAAAACACUCAACCAGAAUUCAAGAGCAGAAAAGAUAUUCAACAUUAUCAAUUUUCUCAUAUAGGCUAUAGUAAGUCAUAUGUAUGUAUCAAACUAAUUGUAAGGAGCUCCAACAUUAUUUCCAAUAUUUUUACAGCAAUUUCUUCAAUUUUUCCCUUUUCAAUAUUUUCAGUUGGGGGACAAGGUAAUGUAUAAGAUGGUCCCCUCCACAAGUUGCAAAGAGGAUGUAACAAGAUUAUGCAUCUAUAUACCCAAUUUGAUAACUAUAAUAUAGAAAUUACUUCAAGAUCCAAACUAAUUAUAUAAGCAAUUUCUGACACUACUAAGCAACUGGAAGCUUAGCAAAGUCCUGUGCUGAAGGAAAGAAACACAUCUUAGCGCCAAUGAUUCAGUAGUCAUAUCUACAUUUUACAUGAGAUAAUCACAGUGGAAAGUAAAAAAUAAUCGUCCAAUGUGCAUAUUAGGACCUACAGUAUAGGACAAGAACAAGAAACUAUAUUGACAAAUAAAUAUAGAGCAUGUCAACUGGAAAAAAAUGAUUAGUGAUAAAACAGUAAAUUACUUAAUAUAUACUCACAAAACUAACACAGCUAAAUUAAGACUGUAUAGAAUAUAGAUCUCUACCCAUUUCUAAAGAUUGAAAAGUAGGAUAAAGAGACACAUACCUGCAUACUAAGAUCAAGAAGAUGUAAAUUGGUAACAACAGCUCUGACAAUGCUUUCUCUGGCAGACGAAAAUUCUUGUCUGUCCCACAACGUGAGAAUGGCAAUUAUAGACGCAGAAGCCCAUUCAGGCUUCCCUCCAGGUACAUCGGCCAGGUACAACAUAUUAAGCCCCACUUCAAAAAUCAAAGCAGGAUCCAGAGAAGAAUUCAAAAACGGUGCCAGAUGUGAAACAACAUCCGACACUCCAAGAAAUCGCUCUGCAUUACUAGCCUCUGAAGCUUUAACUUCACUAUUUUUUGUACCGGAAGACUUGUAAAGCUUCCGAAUCACAUCCAACGAACCUGAAGCAACAGCUUUCACUCCAUAAACCAACGGAUAAACUGUUGCCCUAAAAUUCUCAACUGGCAGAAUAACUGACCUCGCCAUCAAUGCAUUCCUCUUCCUCCACACAAAAUCCACCAUCCACGAAACCCAAUUCGACCUAAUGGCAACUGAAUUCUCACUAUCGACAAGCUUAUCACCUGCUAACCUACUCAUCCUCUUACUCUCAAACUCCUGAAACAACCUCCCAACCGACUCAAACGCGACUUUCGAAACAACAUCCGACUUAUCCAACAUAUUCUCCCCAAUUCUCUUCCACCAAUUCGAAACCCUAUCCAACAAACUAAUAUUAUUCUCACACAAAAUCACCAAAUCAUCUCUCGCCAACACACACCCCAAAGUCUCCGUAAUCGAAAACCUCAAAUUAUCACUAACCGAAUCAAAACAACUAGAAAUCUCCUUAUUGCAAUCAGUAAUCAGCUUACCGAGCCGGUGCGAGGGAAUAGCAGCGAGAAUAGAAACCGCAGCGGCGGAAACAUCGGGAUCGGGGAAGUCGAGAUCGGUGCGGAUCCCGACGCAAACAGUCUCCCAGAGAUCGGAGGUGAGGCGAGUGGAUCGGAUGAGAUCAAACGCGAGUUUUUUGGAGACGGCGGAGGCGGGAGAAGCGAUGACUUCCUCGACGGCGGACUUGGCGAUGACGGAGAUGUCGCGCCCGGCGGCGGAUUGCUGGAGGGCUUGGAGAAGUGCGCCGGACUGACGGAGAGCGUCGNNNNNNNNNNNNNNNNNNNNNNNNNNNNNNNNNNNNNNNNNNNNNNNNNNNNNNNNNNNNNNNNNNNNNNNNNNNNNNNNNNNNNNNNNNNNNNNNNNNNNNNNNNNNNNNNNNNNNNNNNNNNNNNNNNNNNNNNNNNNNNNNNNNNNNNNNNNNNNNNNNNNNNNNNNNNNNNNNNNNNNNNNNNNNNNNNNNNNNNNNNNNNNNNNNNNNNNNNNNNNNNNNNNNNNNNNNNNNNGCGCCGGACUGACGGAGAGCGUCGUUUGAUCGGAGAUCGGCUUGGAUUUGUGCGAACAGUAUGUCCAUUUCAGUAGUAGUAGUCUUGGAGAUCUUGUGUAAGUAGCGUGUGUGUAUAAGAAAUUGAUUAGAGUUGAAUGAAGGUUAGAAGAAGCUUGAAAGCAGAGUGAGAUUCAUUAGAAAUGGAGGAGACUGUUAUUACUGGCUCGUUAUUUUUGCUUCUCUCUCGUGUUAUGUCAGUUGGAUAUGGGUAACCCGUUUCAGUUUCAGGAAUUAUGAAACUCUUUUUCUUUUUGGUAAUUGGGAUUUUAACGUCCUACACAUGUUUGGUAAAAAAUCUCAAUAAUUCAAUUAGUAUUGUUGUUUUUAAGUUGAUACUCAUGAAAUUUGAUGAAUAUCAACCUUAUAAUUGUUUAUAUGAUGAAAUUUAUAAAUUAUUUAACUUUUUGUUUCAGGAUAUGACAUUUUUCUAUUAAAAUUUUCACUCGGGAAGUAGUUAAGAGAUGAGAUUAAGUUGGAUUUGUAUCAAGAAUAUAGUUUCGUCAACACACGAUUAAGCGAUUUUUGUUGGGUUUACUAUGCUAGUAUUGAUUUUAUUAUUAUUAUUAUUGUUAUUAUUAUUAUUAUUAUAUAUAUUAACAUUUUUUUCAUUGUGUCAAUUUUUUUUGUAUUUAUUAUACACGCUGGGCUAAAAUUAAAGUUGUGGGGACUUUGACAAUAUCUUUAUCAAGAUUAUAACAGAAAUUAGUUUUCAUAAUCUUCUCGAGAAUUUCUUAUUCUGUGAAUGAAUGGUUUUCAUUAAGUUCGGAAGAAGUUUUUUUAACAUACAUACCUUGACAUGUUUUUGAAAUUUUAGGUGUAAUUUGAUAGUCACUUACUCACUUGAACAAAUCAUAUAACUUAUUCGUCUAAUUUUUUGUUUUCACUUUAGGAAUUUUUUUUUUUUUUUGAUAAGUUAAAAUUUUCAUUAAUAAUAAGCCCGUGAUCCUUACAUAUCCAAUAGAUUAAUAGGGGAGGAUCUAAUCAAGAUUAACUUGAUUCAAAAGAAAAUUAGGACAUACUACAAAGGUAUGAACUGGAUGAGACUCCUACCAUCAAAAGACCACUUAAACAACUUAAACAUACUUAAAAUUAACUUAAUUAAGCUUAAAUAUUUAAUCAUGAGAACCCUAACGAGAUCAUGCGCCAACACCAGCAGAAUGUCUUCCCUUUCAAUCGAUGUCCAAAAGAUUUGCCGGUUCAUCUGCUAUUUCUUCACCAUCGUUGCUGUCACUUUCUUCAUCCUCCACCAUCCAUUCCUCCACUUGCUGCUGCUAAGCCAGGUAUUCAUUUUCAUCAAGCACCAUGAACUAGCCUCCAAUGAAACCCAGACCCAUGUCCAGAUGCCAGAUUUCAGAUACCCUUCCAAACGUCCCAUAAACCCUAACUGCUCUUGUCCUAGUAGCAGCACCAUGCUCAGAAAGAUAUCUAGCCAACCGCUUCUGGCUCUCCACAAUCCUACGCCUCCUCAAGAGCAGAUUUGGGUCUGUACGCCUCUGGUCCAGUUGCUGGAUGACCCUGGAGUGCCUGGGAUCGAUGAACCAGCGCCAAUCCACCCAUUUCCGGAGUGCAUCAGCUGAUUCCGUCUCCAGUUCCACAGCAUUUUCCUGAUUUUGUGAGCGAGCUGAAGCCCUAACAAGAGAGCACUUUAAGAGUAUAGUUUCAUACUAAUCAAAACCUACAUCUACCUUUUAAUCAGCAGAAUGGUUAUCAUUGUAUGUUUUGACGCGAUGUUGUGAGUUCUUAUAAGCCCUCUGAUCUUAAGUUUAUUAUUAAAAAAAACAUCAAGCUUGACCAAUGUUAAUCUUAUAUGGCUUAACAAUUUCUUUAGUGAUGAGUAGUAAAUUAGUAUCUAGAUUAAAAAAGUUGAAUUCAACUCUUCAAAAAAAUUGAAUUCUAUCUUAAUUAUCCAAUCACUUUCCUUCAACAAAAAAUACUCAUCCAUGCUGAUUCUUCAGCAAGUUGUCAUAUUUAUCCAUUCACAUGUUAUAGUCUUUGUUUAUCUUGAUUUGCUUGGAUCUGUGACAUUAUAUAUGUAUCAGAUUGUCUAAUCUUAUUACAAUUGAAGUGUCUGGCUUUAAAUCUAUUUAGCAUCCUAGUUUUAUAGCCAUAUUCGACUUCGCUUCCAAUCUUGGAUGAACCAUCAUUUUCAAAUAUAGCCAGCUUUACCUUCUAGUUUAAAGUUCUUCUUGUCUUGAACCUGAUGUUAUUGAUGUUAUAGAAUUUUCAUGUUAUAUAAGUCAUUUUCUUGUUGUUUUAUUAUCCAACACACUCUAGACGUAGAAAUUUUUGUCUUAAACAUGUGUCGAGUUUAAUGUCAUCUUAUCUUCACCACCACCCUCCUAUGUGGCUUUCUCAACCUUGAUCUGGAAUGGGAGCAUCUUCAAUUUGGAGUGGAUUUUAAAUUAUGUAUAUGAAUAUGAGAGUUAAUUUUACAGUCACAUGUGAUACAAUAGAUUCUUGUAAAUAUAUGUGAAUCUUAAACUAGCGGUUUGAAUAUAAAAUAUAGAUGAUUGAAGAUGCUUGUACACUCAAGAUGAAACUAACGGUCUAAUUAUUUUAAAUCUUAUUUAUUUUUAGAUUUUUGCGUAUUUCUAUAUACAAAGAGUGAUUUAUAAUAUACUUUUCAUCAUUGUUUAUUUAACUUGAUUAAAAUUUAAAGUUAUUAAUACUUAAUAACUAAAAUUUGUCGUCGUGCAAGCGAAUUAAUAUACACUUGUUACAAUAUGUAUUCUUGUUGUAUUAAGAUUAUAAAACCGCUAUCAUCACGAUUGUGGGAUUAAAAGUUAAUAAAUUGCUCGAUCGCAUAAACAAAUAAAGACAACAAGCGAAAAAGUGUGAUGAUCUAUUUUGGUGAGGAAUUGUUGAGCACUUAUUGCUUUAUUUCUUUAACUUCACUAAAUUAGGUUUAGGAAUCUAGUUAGCUAUGUUUUUCAAUAUUGUAAAAGGCGAAAAUCAAAUCUGGCGAUUGAAUGCACAAUCCAGGGAUUUAUUGAAAUUAAUUAAAUAUUAUAUUAUUUGAAAUUAUAUAUAAUUAUAUCUCAUAUAUUUGUAAAUUCAAAAUAGAAUAAAUUUAUAAUAUCACAAAAUAUUUCUUAUUAUAUAUAUAACAUAUAUCAUCAAUAAAUCCAAAACAAAUAAAAUCACUUCAGUAACAAAAUAAUAUACGUAUUUUUAAGUUAUCGCAUAGAACACAACAUCUUUUUUGUUUUUCAUUUUAAUUAAAAUAGUUUUAAAUAUUUAAAAUAAAAUUUAAAAUUUUAUAAUUGACCGAUUAUACCGACUUCUGAUUGAAUAACCUGAUAUUUGACCAAUUUUUCGGAAACUAAUUUCUUGACUCAAUUCAGACUUAAAUGAGACGAAAUCCGUUUGAACGCGAUUAAUCAUUAAAUUUUAGAAUAUAUAUGUGUUAUUAUUAUACACAAACAACGUGUUAGAUAAAGUAAAUAUUAUAAAUAAAAGAUAUUUGUUAGUGAAGAAAAGUUAAAAAUACAUAAUUGCUAAAUGCAAUUCAAAAUUGCUUAAUGCAGUUCGCCUAAAUUACUAUUUAAUCCUUGUAGAGUAUGAUGGUAUGCAUGGAUGUCGGCAUUAAUUGCUCACAUCAUUUUCAUUCAUGUGCACGGAGACCUGUAUUCAUUGGAAGUUGGGACCAUUUGUUCUCGCUUUACCUGCUACUCCGUAUAUUGAAAAAAAAAAUAUUCACAUAAUCCGUAUUGAACUUUUUAAUUUAUUCAUGUUUAUUUUUAUUGAUAAUUUUGUAAGAGUAAAUGAAGUUUCAUUCUUUACUUUUGGUUAUACGAGGUGUUAAUUUUUAGUCUAAUAAUAAGGGUAUUAUGUUAAUUAUCUUUUUAUGAAUCAUCAUUAGUUACAUGUAUUAACCAAGAAACAAUUUUUUUUAUUUAUAUAAUCAAAUCACAUAAGUGAAGUAAUUCAAAAUAUAAUAUAAAAUAUACAAAGAGUAUGAAAGAUGAAUAUGAAAAUAAAUUUAAGGACUUACAUUGUCUAUAUUCAUAAUAUUAGAUUAGAUGAAUCGUUUAAAAUAUCUAUAAUUUUUAAUUAAAAAUGUAUUUUUGUAUUUGUGAUAAGUCAUUUUUUAAAAAAUAAUGUAUAGAUUAUGAUGUAUAGUACUGAAUACUUUCUCCAUCCCAAAUUAGAUGAGCUAGUUGACUUUGAGCACAUAACUAUAACUUAAGAUGCAUUGACCGUCUAGUUCCCAAAUUUAUUUUUUUAAUUUUUAGUUUAUAAACGAAAAUUUCAUAUUUAAAUUUUUAUUUGCAACAAUAAAAUUUUAAAAAAUAAGUAAUGUAGCUAUGCGGUCAAUGGACUUUAAGGCACGUGCCUAAAGUCAACGAGUUCAUCUAAUUUGGGAUGAAGGAAUAUUUGUUUGGUAUUUUUUUUGACAGAAUUUGUUUGGUACUUUUAAUAAUAUAUAUUUUAUUAAAAUAUUUUUUGCAAAUAUUUGUUGUUAUUAGCGCAGUCCUUAAUGUACAAAUUUCAGAAGACAAAUUACCUUUUUAAAAAACUGGACUUGGAAUUUAUUAUAAUAUCAUGUAAAUUAAUGAAAAUUUUAAUCUUUUUCAUAUAAAAUUAUAAAAAUUAUAUAUUGUGAAAUGGAGGUAUAUUUAACAUUUUAAUCUAAUAUUAAUUUUGGGAAAUGACUUGUCACAAAUACAAAAUUGAAGUUUUAAUCAAAAAUUUAUAGCUAUUUUAAACUAUUUACCUAUGUAAUGUACCUAAAAUGAAGCUAAUGUCAAUUCAUAAAAAGUAAUUAAAAAUAGUAUAUUUUUUAUCAGACUAAAAAUUAAAAUUUCAUAUAACCAAACGUAAGGAAUGGAACUUAAUUUACUUUUACAAAUUAUCAAUAAAAACAAAAGUGAAUAAAANNNNNNNNNNNNNNNNNNNNNNNNNNNNNNNNNNNNNNNNNNNNNNNNNNNNNNNNNNNNNNNNNNNNNNNNNNNNNNNNNNNNNNNNNNNNNNNNNNNNNNNNNNNNNNNNNNNNNNNNNNNNNNNNNNNNNNNNNNNNNNNNNNNNNNNNNNNNNNNNNNNNNNNNNNNNNNNNNNNNNNNNNNNNNNNNNNNNNNNNNNNNNNNNNNNUGACUAAGGGCAAGUCCAACACUAUGCUAAGAGGUUCCCUAAAAAUAUUAUAAAAUAAUAUGUCUUAGUGAUUUAGCACAAGAUUUAGCACAUGAGCUCCAAUAGUACUCCCUAUAUUCAUUCCCUAUUAUUAUAAUAAUAUUAAAUUUAAACAACUUUGGUGUGGAGGAGAGAGGGAAAUGAUGUGGAAAAGAAAGAGAAAUGAAUAUUUUAAUGAUAAAAAUAGUUUAGGAGUGGCUAGCAUAUUCUAAAAAUAGGGAAGGGGAAGCUUGUGCUAGUGAUUUAGCACAUCACUAGCAUAGUGUUGGAGUGCAAUUUUAUCCCAUAUUCCUUAUUUUUGGAUUUAAGACUUGAUUUAGCACACCUAUUGUACUUGGUCUAAAAAUAUAUACACACGGAGUCACGGAGUAUAUUAAAAGGAAAUGCCGAGGGGGAGAAGUGGAGUAUAUACAAAACCCAUCCCGUACAUCCCCACUCUUAAAAACACUUCAACAAUAAAUUUCGUCUCUUUAGCAACGAAAGAUAGAAAGGAUAGAGAUACAGAUACAUAUACAUACGGGGUAUUCAUACUGCUGCUCUGCUCGCGAUCCAUUUUGCCGCCUUCUUACAUCUCUCUUCUUCUCAGGGUUUCGUCUCUCUCCACCACUCUCUCUCUCUCUAUAUAUUAUAUAUAUUUGUUUUCGUUCUCUAUUUGAUUGAAUUGAUAGCCGUGUGAUCUAGGGUUUUUUAUAUUUUUCGUUUCCAAUUCAAUUUUCAAUUUGACUGUGUGCGUGCGUAUAUACAAAAAUAAAUACGAGAAUCUUGAUCGGUUAGUUGUAUUUGUACUGGAUUGAUCACGAGAAGCCAAUUGGGGCUGGGUUUCUCUCCUCUUCUGCCUCUCUUGGCAACUCAAGGUUAGGCGUUUAUUUAAUCUCACUUGUAUUUAUUACGAUUGUUGUGCUUCUUUCUAAUGGGGCCAAUUAUGAUAUUACAAUUUGUGAUUUUGAAUAAUUUCGAGGGACUAGAUACAAUUUUUUCGGAUUUUCAAAGCAACUUUGCUUGUUAGGCUAUGAGUAGAUUUUCAAAGAAAAUUAUAUGGUUUAUUGAUGUAUAUGUAAUGAUGGGUAUGAAAAUUUAUUACAAGAAAUUAAAUAGAGAUUUAUGUGGUAAAAUUGGGUUUUAAACUACGUUCAUGUGUAUGUAUGGACCAGUACAAGUAGCCCGGUGAAUAGAACUUGGGUUCAUUGGGUGGAUACGGUAUGGACAAGAGAAAUAGGUUCCCUGAAGGAGAUUCCUCAUCGGAUGAAUCUGGUAGCUCCGGACGAAUUGAUACUGAAAUUUCCGCUUCUGAGAACUGUAGUGCUCCUAGGAAGAAAUGGAUCAUGUUGAAUCCUGCCACAAAAGAUGGUUUUGGUGUACCAGUUAAAGUGCUUCCACUGUCGAAACUGUCACAUCCUGAUAGACAGAAGUUGUUACUGUGUCUUAAGACAGAACUUGAAAAGGUUGGGUUCUUGCGGAAGAAAGUUGAGACACGGAAUGUGGGUGUUGUUUCUGUGUCACCGUCUACUAGUAUUCUUAGUGGCAGUAAUGCUCAAAAUGUGCUUAAGAACGGGAACACGAAGCGAUCAUCCGCAUUGACUGACGCACCUGCUAAAAAGUUGAAGCCUGGUAGCUUAACCAGGGGCACAUCAGGGAGGUUUCAGUCCUCAAACAAGCCUUCAGAGCCAUCUUCUAUGAACUCAACUUUGAUGAGACAGUGUGAAAAUUUGUUGAAAAAGUUGAUGUCGCAUGAAUUUGGUUGGGUCUUUAAUAGUCCUGUUGAUCCUGUGAAGUUAAACCUUCCCGAUUAUUUUGAUGUUAUUAAGAAUCCUAUGGAUCUGGGGACUGUAAAAAAGAAAAUCUCUUCGUCAGUGUAUACAAGCCCGCUGGAUUUUGUAGCCGACGUUAGGCUUGCAUUCACCAAUGCCAUGACCUAUAAUCCUCCUGCAAAUGAUGUCCACUUGAUGGCUGCUACCCUCAGUAAGUUUUUUGAGGUCAGAUGGAAGGUUAUUGAGAAAAAGCUUUCUGCAAAUGUUCCCCAACAAAUGCCUCAGAUAUCUAGUGUUCCCACGGAAGCAGGAAAGGUCAAGCCAAUGCCUCCCUCAAAAAAGAGAAAACAUUCUUCAACCCAACUUCUAGUUUUACCAGAGCCUGUAUGUGAGCCUGUAAAAUGUAUGACUGCUGAAGAGAAACAGAAGUUAAGUAAAGAGUUGGAAUCUUCACUGUCGGAUCUACCUGACAAUAUUAUAGAGUUUUUGAGGGAACAGAGUUCUGCAGGGAAAGAUGAAGGGGAGGAUGAGAUUGAGAUUGAUAUAGACACUCUCACUGAUGAUACCUUGUUCAAAUUGCAAAAGUUGUUAGAUGAUCAUUUGACCGAGAAACGAAAACAUGGAAAAGGUGAACCUUGUGAAAUAGAGGUAAGCUAUGUUUCCCCUCUGUAUUCUCAGUAGAAAUUCUGGACUAAAACUGGAUAGGUAUUGUUACUUUAUAUUUACUUUAUAUGCUUAAAAUUUCUUUUCUUCACAUCUCGUACAGCUGUUAAAUGAAUCUGGUGUUAGCAAUUCCUCCAUGCAGCUAGACAAAGGUUAUCGUCUAUUUCCCAAUAAAUUAGAAUCUAUGUUGCAUGUGAAUAUCACAUGAAAUGCCAUUUGACUUGUAUUACACACUUUUGCAGGAAAUGGACUUGUUGCAAAGGAUGUUGAUCUUGUUGGAAAUGAGCCUCCUGUCUCCAGCUAUCCUCCUACUGAGAUAAUACAUGAUUCAGGCAGUAGAAGCAACAAAUUCAUUAGCCCAGGAACGUCAAGCGGUAAUACAGAUCAGUCAUUUUUAUUAACUAUAUCUGGUUCCUGUAUUCGUUACUAUAUGUUAGACUCAAUAAAGCUGGUGGGUGAACUCUGUGUGUGCACAUUUUCUUAUCCAGCUUAUGAGAUUGUCAUGUGAUUUUGAUUAUGUUUAAUUUAGUGUUGCCAAGACUAUGUGAAUAUGUGAUUAGGAAUUUUGUGGAGAGCAGUAACGAAACCAUUCCACCUUGUGUUAGUUUUCAAAAUGACCACAGUAAAGGAGACGAGAAAUAGAUGGUUUUCAAUCUUGCUGGCUUUCAUAAAUUAAGAAACAUUUUUGUACUUCUUAUAUUAAAAAUAACUUCAAAAAUUUUCUUUUUUUCCCCUCAGAAAGAAAAGCAUAUUUUUUCUUAACUCUGUAGUUCCUUCUUGCUUCAUUUUCUUUUCUCCAUUCUCCAAUCGUAACUUUAAGACAUAAUGUUUCCUUGUGUUCCUAAGGAGAAGGUCAUUAUAGCAUGUCCUGUAUUUUAUCAAUAUGUGCUUUGUAUGACAAUAUACAAGACACCACGGUUACAUACUCCUUCAUAGUAGCAUGGGGCCACAUUUGUUAUGAUUGUAUCUCUAUCCAGUGUUCAUGUUUAAAUAGCUCGUUGAUAAUUUGAUAUUUUUUUCCUAAUGAUUUUGAUCCAUGUAUUUAUUUGUUUUCUGGGUGAAUUAUAUAUAUUCCAUUACAAAGGAUUAUUUUGGUUAUCUAAUUACCAAAAUAAUACUUAUGUUAAGUCUGCUUUAUAAUUUUCAACUCUAUGGAAGCUAUAAUUAAAAUCUUAUUUCUCUGACGAGGGUGGAUAUUCUUUCACGUAUAACUUCUUGCACCUUAUUUAUCAUAAGAUCUUCACAUUCUGUUCUUCGUAUCGACCAAUCUUCUAAAUUAGAGAAGGAUGGCACAAGCCACCUCCGUUUGUACGGAAAGAAUCCUAGUUCAUAUUCUCUGCUGAGUGCUGAAUACAGAGUCCUCAACCCAGACAAGCUUUUUGCUUCAAUUGUCGUUAGCAUUGAUGUUCCUUGAAACCUUGCUAGACACAUCACUUGAUUGGUUAAAGUAUGGCCAGGUUGCUUCCAUAGCCACGGAUUAUGUGAUACUGGUCAUGGUAUAAGAAUAACAAAUUUAUGCAAUUUUAACUCUCACAUGCAUCGGAUUUUGUUUUUGCUAUCUUUGAAGAUUUGUAUGGCAAGAUCGACUGAUUGUAAUAUGUAUCUGUAGCUGUAGUGUACUUCUAUAUGAAUAUAUAUAUAUUAUUGUAUAUACUUGUGAUUUGAAUAUUUGUGUCUUGUUUUGCACAGAUUCAGAUUCGAGGAGUUUUCCUGCCAUGGCAGCAGAUGUUGCUACAGCCUCUUCUAGCCCAGUAAAGCGGUCAAAGGUAUACCAUGAUAUGUAUUGGGCAUAUUUGGUCUUUCUUCUCCUGUUAUAUGCAUGUGUUCAAUUAUGAAUCCGUGCAAUCUAUUAUUGUCGAUACAGGAUGAUACCGUCCACGUAGCAGAGUUGGACGAGAAUGCAGGUCCUGGAGACUUGGUUGAUGGAAAUCGUAAGUUACUAAUGUUUAGUAUAAUAUUAGUAUCUAGCUGUAACUACUUUUUUUGUUUUGAUUAUUUAAAGAAUAAGACAUGUCACAUCUUACUUUCCUUACGGCUAGGAGUGAGUAAAAUGGGAUUCCGUUUUGUUAGAUCACUAUAAUUCCCAUCCCAGUUCUGGUUCAGUUUGACUGGUAUGCAGAUUCUGUUUGUUAGUGCAUAUGCUUUUUGACUUUGUGAACUUCACUUUGUCCAAUAAUUGAAAUCUGCCAUCAGUAACCUUUACUUUAAAACAGGAAUACUGCUUUAGAUCGGAAUCAAAAACAGCGUGUCUUUUUUAAAACGAAACAAAAUGACGCUGCAUGAUAGAAAAAGUGUAUAGGCACUGCUAAAUUCGAAGCAAGGAAUUAACCGGGAAUAAUGUACAGUUUAAUGUAUUGGUCUAAGUAUAAAUCUUUCCCAUUUUAUGUUUAAAAUAAGCCAUAGAUUUAAUCUCCCAUUCUACUAUUUGCUCAACCUUUAGUUCUCAUAUUUCUUUCUACUUUCCUAAAUGAAGCAUUUAUCGUGAAAAUUACUUCUUCAAAGACAAACAUAUUUGAUGUGGAACGGAAGUGAUUUAUGAUAUGUUUGAUACAUUUUUAUUGUGCAGGAAAAUGAUUGACAAUAUUCAUGUGUAGCCUCUAGUUGUACCACUUUGUUAAUUAUUUAAUAUACGUCUCCCUUUUGCGGUUGGGAAAACCCUUUGGGUAGUGGUUUUUCUGCCUCUAUUUGAGCAAAGUUUGUUGUUUUUGUUUCUACUCCAUAUAUUCAUCUUUGCAAAUGUGUCCUGCAUCAAAAGUCCUUAAAUGAGAGCUUGAUCCUUACAAAUUGGACAGUCCUAUUCAGUUUACUUUUUUAUAUUUUUCAAAAUCAAACUUUUUUAUUUUAUUCAAAAUUUAGGACAGAGAAAACUCAGUUUGUGUCGGGGAGAUUUUGAAUAUAUGAAGUCAGGAAAAUUUAUGUCAAUUGUCUAUGAGUGAGCGAGCUUGUAGAAUAUGAUAUGAACUCUGAGAAAUUAGAAGGUUGCUUUGGCUGCCAAGUAUUUUGACAUUACUUAUUGAUAUUUGAUUUAUCUUGUUGACGUUAGUAAACAGUAAAUAUGCUUAAUCUGAACGUCUUUUUGAUUUAAAUUAUAAAAUUGAUGUGUUUAGUAAUGAUUUAGAGUAUAGUGCACGUAAUGUACUCAUAUACUUAUUGAUCCUACUUAUAAUGGGGCCGUUUGGGAAAGCUUAAAAAAAGUGAUUCCGUGCUUAAAGUAAAGAAGUGGAUUAGAAGUGAGAAGUAAAUAAGUUAAUAAAGUGUUUGGAAAAGAAGCAGAAGCUCUGAGACAGAAGCUAGCAUUCUCAGCUUCUUAAAAGUGCUUCUACUUCUUUACACAAACGGGUCAAGAAAAGCAGAAGCCAGAAGCAGCUCCGGCUUCUGCUAAACAAACAGGCACAAUAAUUGUAGUUUAAAUCGAGCUCUUAAAAUAUCGAUGUUUAAAUUUCAUCACACUUCGUUGCAUUCCGAUAAUUUGGGUUAACUCCGUUAAUAAUAUAAGAAGUAAAAGAACUUUGUGUACUUGGAAUUUAUUCAAAGACACUACUUGCAGUAGUCUAAUCUAAAAUAUAGGAUACCCAACGUCUCCCUUAUAAGUCAGAAUCAACUUAUUUGUACAGUUUGUGCAAUAAACCUACUCCCUCUAUCCCAUUCAUUUCUAUACAUAUAUAUUUUCGGAUGUCCCUUUCUUCUAUACAUUCCGAAAAAUAGUAACUUCCAAUAAAUAAAGAAUACUAUUUCACCCACUACUUUCUUCCACUAUCUCUAUUUUAUAAUAAUAUAAAAUACUAUGAAAAACCAAUACUUACUCCACUAUCUCAACUCUAUUAUUUAAUAUAAAUUGGUUCCAUUUCAUUUAAUUUUACUCAUUUUUUUACACAUUUUCUUGGUCUCAAUGUCCAAACUCAAUGUGUAUAAUUCAAUGGGACGGAGGGAGUGUAAGUUAAUUUUUGGCUUAUAAGUUGAAAUUUGACAAGUUGAAAACCCUAGCUUUUUGUCGUGAGUUAUUUUGAUUUUUGAAAUUUGAUUUCAUAAAAAUUACUAAUAAAUGUAUGCAAACAGAUAAACUAAGCCACACAAAUGCCUCAGAGUAAAGUCCGAGUGUGCGAAGUGCAUAUUAUGUGAAGUGUGAGUGCACAAAGUGCACUUUACUCCCUAAAUUACUAGUAGAGUCAAGCCAAUUUAAUGGAAUGCUACAAAAUGUAAUGAAUGAUAAACAUUGAUAUUUCAAGUGCUCGAUUUUGAAUUACAGUAUUGCAAGUGGUUUUUUGAAUGUAGUGCGAGUAUACAAAGUGCAUUUCACUCUAAUAUAUAUUAAAAUCAGGAUAAAUUUAAAAGUCAUUUAUUCGUUUGAUUCAAAUAUAUCAAAAUAGUCACUCAUUUCAAAAUUGACUAACUUCAAAUUUUGUAUCAAGUAAUCAUUUGCCAAUGACUAAAUUGAUAUAAAAUUCUAAUUUUUUUAAUGACUGAGUUAAUACAAAUUUUUAGAGCUGUUCACGAACCGAGCCGAGUUUUGACCGAGUCGAGCCGAGCUUUAAAUUUUUUCUUAUCGACCCGAGCCGAGCCGAGCUUUCUUAUCGAACAAAAAAGUGUGUUCGAGCUCGAGCUCGAUAACUAACGAGCCGAACACGAGCUUGUUCACGAACAAAUACGAGCCGAGCCGAGUCGAGCCGAGCCAGAGAAAAAUAAGGCCAAACCGCUACUUUACUCUUAAAAUAGCAAGCCAAAUAAAAUUUUUGGUAUGUUUUGAUGGUACCAUAUUAUAGUUGAUAUUCUCAUGAUCGGUUUGAUAUAAUAUAUGUUGAAUUUGGCGUUCAAUAACAUAUAUAUAUUACGAAAUUAUUAUGAAAAUAUUGUUUUUUUUCGAGGUUUAACGAGUCGAGCUCGAGCCGAACGAGUUCGAGCCGAGCUCGAGCCGAACAUACUAAAAGCUCGGCUCGAGCUCGUUUUCUUAACGAACAAUUUUUUGUGUUCGAGCUCGAGCUCGUUAACUUAACGAGCCGAGCCGAACGAGCUCUUAACGAGCCGAGCUCGAGCUUGUUCGCGAACAGCUCGGUUCGUUAAACAGCCCUACAAAUUUUCAAAUUGAUAACCAAAUUGAGUCAAUGUUGAAAUGAGUGACUAGUUUGAUAUAUUUGAACCAAAUGACUGAUGACUUUGAUACUUAUCCCAUAUUAGAUCUGGUAAAUUUAUGUAUAUGGAGACUGGUGAAUUUUUGUGGCUAGUUGGGCGACUUGUUCACUAGUCUUAUUGGAGUCACUCAUAUGGCAAAGCUCGACUUGGCGCUGUGGUAACCAUGUUUUGGAAUAUAUUAGUAAGCAAUCAUGUAUUUGCAUCAAUCUAGUCAGUUCAUAAACUAAAUAGAACGUUAAAUGGAGGCUGUUGAGUGUUGAUGUGAUCGAUGUUGAUUAUGUUCUUCUUUGAGUUGGAUGUAAUAUCCUUAAUUGGGGAAGUAGAGACAUUAGUGAGUGGCUCCAAAGUUCUACAGCAAUUACAGUAAUACUAAACUUGAGAUCUUUAUAAUUAGUCUAAAUAGAGAACUUUGUUGACUGUAUUACAUCCUUAAAAUUGGGCACAGCUUUUUUCAUUGUUAGGUGUACAAAUAUGAGUUGUUACCGAUUUAUGAUGUUAAAUUAAAAAAAUUGUUACUGCAAAGUCAACUUUUAAGGAGUGCAUUGUUGGGAAAGUAAGAUGAUAUGAUAUAGUCCUGAACAGAUUUAUCCUUUUGCUCUGUUGGGGCUUGCUACUUUCUUUUUUGGUUUGUGUUAUAAUUCAUUUUCAGAUCAGUUCUUAAUUAAUUUACCUAGUUGCUCCUUGUUUGUGGUUGGUUAGAAUCAGUCAGCGGUUUGGACCAACUUGAACCUUCUCAGCAGAAGCCAAGCUCAGUUGAGUCAGAUAGCUGCCAGGAUGGUACGCAUAUGGUGAAAGAUUAUUUAAGGUAUUGAAUAUUAAUUUAGUUUCUGGGUCUUAUGUUUUGUCCGAUGCAAUCUAUUAAUUCAGGGGAUAGUGCUCCUUCAGAAAGGCCAGUUUCACCUGAUAAACUUUACAGGGUUGCCAUUUUGAAAAAGCGAUUUGCAGAUACAAUUUUAAAAGCUCAAGAAAAGACUCUCAAACAGGUCUGUAACAUGAUAAACGUUUUUGUGGUCCCGUCAUAUUUGUGCUUAAACUAUAUAUCAGUAUCUAUUUCUUUAUAUGAACCUUGCUAUUUGUCCUUUUGGAGCACAGGGUGAAAAGGUAGAUCCUGAGAGACUCCGACUUGAGCGUGAGAUGCUUGAGUCUCAGAAAAGAAAAGGUAGUUUGUUUAGCUAAUAUGCGUCAAUUGGAUUUUAGUUGCAAUUUGUUUUUAGCUUUGUUCUUGGGUGAGGGGGUUAAAGAUUACGUGCUGUGAUUUCUUGGGGGUGCUAAAUUGCGUAAUUAAUGUCCUAUAGAGAAAGCUCGGCUACAAGCUGAAGCCAAGGCUGCUGAAAAUGCAAUGAGACUAGCAGAAGCUGAAGCUGCAGCAGAAUCCAAACGCCAGAGGGAGCUGGAGAGAGAAGCAGCUCGUCAGGCAUUGUUAAAGGUAUGCAUUUUAAUAUAUGUGAACCAAUGACGUUGAACUUAAUCCUAUCAGGCGGCCAUCACUGGUAAAUUCUCUAUCCCGCAGAUGGAAAAGACAGUCGAAAUUAAUGGGACAUCCCGGUUUCUUGAAGACCUAGAAAUGCUAAGGACAGUCCCGUCUGAACAAGUACCGAGCUCUGUAGAUGAGGCAAGCCCAGACGAGUCACUGGAUUGUUUCAAGUUUGAAGGGAGUAACCCCUUGGAACAGCUUGGUCUUUACAUGAAAGUGGAUGAUGAAGAUGAAGAAAUCGAGCCACCAAGCAAUGAUGUGGAUGUAGAGGAAGGCGAGAUUGACUGAAUCCCAUUCUCGCUACUGUAUCGAUGAAGAAGCAUGAAAAAUAAUUUAAAAAAAAUUUCAAACAACAUGUCUGUAUUUUGUAUCUAUAAUGUAGCGUUCUCUAUAUAUUAGACAAACUGAACUUUUUAUACAGCAGGCAACCUAUAACCAAUGUAAAAAGAUGAAACCCUUAAAAAAAACUAAUUUGCAUACAGUUGUAUUAUAUUUAGACGUGUUAGUGUAGGUCUUGUAGCAGUGACAAAGUGAAGGUUGUUUUGCAGAAUUCUUAAUUUAUGUGUAAACUAUGGGGCUGUUUCCAAACACUUUAUUAACUUAUUUACUUCUCACUUCUACUUUACUUCUUUAUUUUAAGUAUGAAAUCACUUUUUUUAAGCUUGGCCAAACGGCCCCUAUGUCUGUGAGGUAACAAUGUAUGUACCAGACGUUGCUAUGAAUCAAUUGAACGCCGCAGGCUAUACGGCCUCUUUUGUUUGUCUCAGUUGCUACUCAUUAACUUCUUUUGUGCAAUCUACUUCUGAACUUGUAUUAUGUAGGAGUAUGAAACUGUCAAAUAUUUUCAACUCCUAUCUGAAUUGUUAGAGUAUAAAAUAAUGUGGUUAAAAAUGGUGUCAUUGCAGGGAAAAAGAGGAUGUAUUUCCUGAUUUUGAUCCAAAAUAUCAAUAAUUAAACAAAAUUUUUAUACCAACAAUUUACAUAUGGUACUUAGUUGAUAUUCAUAAAAAAUAUUUAAUGAAUAUACGUUGUUUAAUAAAUAAACAGAUAUUUCUUAUUCAUCAUAGGAUAAUCACUUAUUCACAAAUUUCGUGUGGGGUUAAUAGUUUUCAUUUGUCAUCUCAUAAAAAAUCCUUUUCGCUCCGCUUAAUCUUACCCUUUUUAUGGAUAUUUAGGAAUUGAACGAUACUGUUUGGUCAAAUACCUAGCGACAAACUCCGAUAUUUUGUUAUUAUCGUAUUUGUGAACAAGUAUCUGGAUAACGUUAGUGUUGAUAUGAUACUACUGAGGAUAUCUAUUGGACCUUCGUAAGGAGCUGGAAUUGCUAAUUGUGGAUAUGAUGACCGAUUUUAUACAUUCAAUUUGAAUUAAGCAAUAUUUCUUUGUAUAAUAUGAAUUACAAACAUCCAUGAUCCGGAUAUGAACGAGUCAAAUUGCAUGUCCCUCAAUCUAUUAGUGAAAUAACGAAAGCAUUUUUCACCCUUUCAUAUGCCUGGAGUCUGGGAAUUUCACUUGGAAAAGAAAAUGUUCCAUACUAGUGGAUAUGGGUCCAUAAUAAUCGGUUCCAAUACCCGAGAUCUUCAUGGCACUCAUCAAUGAGAUCCCGUUGAUUAGUUUUACACAAAAAAAACUAAUUGUUGCUACUAAUACUAUCAGAUUCAUUUUUCAUAAAUAAACUUGGAAUUUACGAUUCCAUGUAAGAUCUAUUCAGGGUCAUGUGAUCCUUUUUGAAUCACAUCGCAUGGGCUGUAGCUUAAAAUGUACUUCUAAAUAAUUUUCACUUAGAUCCUAUAUCUAUUUGUAUUAAAAGAGAUCAUGUAAUGAAGAGGAUCCUCAUUUGUACAAAUGGUAUUUUGAACUUGGGAUUAUCAUGAAAAAUUAAAUGAUACUUCUUCAUCUUUUGAUUUGUUCUAUCGAAUCGAUCGCUCAAAAUCUUUGGUCUCCACCUGGACCUAAUGAAAAAAAUGGGAUCACUUCUUUUGAACAAUGAUUGUGAUCUAGUUCAUGGUCUAUUAUAAGUAAAAGGCGCUCUGAUGGGAUACUCACGGAUAAAAAAAGACUUUAGUUAGUUUAAUAAUGAUCGAGUGGCAUUGCUUCUUCGGCUUGAACCAAGAAAUCCGUUGGAUAUGAUGCAAAACAGAUGUUGUUCCAUCUUUGAUUAGAAAGUUCUCUUUUAAAAAAAAUGAAUCGGAGUUUAUAGAAGGGGAAGGGGUCCUCGACCUGCAACAGAUAGAGGAAGACUUAUUUAGAUAUAGGUUGGGCUCCAAGAAUAUGGCACCCUUGAGGAAUUUUAUGUGAAUUUAGAGGCCCAAUGAAUAGGGGUCGGAUUAUUUCGGGGCAAAUGGAUCCUUUAUGACGAAGAGGAUGAGUUUCAAGAAAAUGAUUGAAACAAUAUGCUCUUGCCUAAACACAAUUGAAAUACAAGAUCAAAAUAUUAUGUGUGGAUGAUAUGAAUUGCCUAAAUAAGAAGGCGGUUAGCUUAAUUGGACCUGCAACACAUUUCGUAAAAUUGAUUGAAUGUGCAAGACAUUUUGAUUCGAUGUUACCAGCUACAUAGAGUUUCUAUGUUUUAAAAAUGGUAUAUUAUUAUUAUUUCAAGUUUUUGUUUCAUGAUUUUUCCUUCAUUCCCAAACACUUUAAUCAUUUAUAAGUCUUAAUUUGCUUCUAAUUUUUAGUUCACUUCUUUACCUUAAGUAAGAAACACUUAUUUUAAAUUCACCCAAACGGCUUUGUUACAUAGGAAUGAAUAAAUUUUUACAUAUUAUUUGUAAUUUAAAUUUUAUUAUAAUUAUUGAAUUUUAGUUAAAGAUUUUACUAGAUUAAAGAUGCUCUCGUUAUUAAACAGGAGCAUAGCUACAAGAAUUAAGAUCAGUAAGGACAAAUUAUAAUUCUUGUUGUUAUACACAUAACAAAAAUCCCAACUGCCCUUGUACAGUUGUACCAACUCAACAAAUACUAGUACCAAGUAGACUUUAAGCCCUCAGCGAGAAUGACCUAUCUGUGACUAAAAAUCUCAGAAAUCAUAACCCCUUCUCUGUCUCAUAUCACAUUAUUACUGCAACUACUACCCUUCACAUAUUUAUUAUUCUCCUUCAAACCUUCUUGAAAUACUCACAAAUCUAUACAAACCCUUUGAUUUAACAAAACCCCUUUUGCCCAUCAUCAAGAUUUGAUGGAACCUUUAACCCCAUCUCUUCAAAAUCUCAUCUUUUUCUUCACUCUUUAUUUUGCAAUUUACCUCACAGCCCACUUCAUAGUUUUCAGGAAGUGGAGCUCCAAGCUCCGACCCGAAGCUGCUUCUUGUUUGAUCUCAUAUGCCCAUGGCACUCCUGCUGUUUUCUUGGCCAUUGCAGCCAUUAUUUCUGAUCCAAAUCGUGGGUUUGCUUCAGUUAACACAUACUUUCAAACCCUAGUUUUGGAUUAUAGUGUUGCUUACUUCUUGAUGGACCUCACCCAUUACCUAAUUUUCUACCCAAGUGAUGUUCUUUUUAUAGCUCAUCAUUUGGCUACACUAUUUGUGUUUAUGACUUGUAGAUUCUUGGUGUUUCAUGGGGCUUAUGCAAUUUUGAUGCUACUUAUUAUUGCCGAAGUUACUAGCUUUUGUCAAAAUACUUGGACUUUGGCUUGUGCUAGGAAAGGCGAUUCGAAAUUCGCAUAUAAGGUGUUUGGUCUUCUGUCCCCUCCAUUUUAUGUGCUUUAUAGUGUUGUUAGAGGUUUUGUUGGACCUUGGUUUCUGUAUGAGAUGGGUAAAUUUUAUGCCAGUGGGGCUGCGUCGAAUGCGAUUCCUACAUGGGUUUGGGGUUCUUGGAUUUUGGUUGUUUUGAUGGCCAUUGUUGUUAGUAUCUUGUGGAUUAUGAAUCUUUGGGUAGAGUUGUAUAGAGAAAGAAAUGGGAAAUUAGAGAAGAAGGUUAGGUAGAAUAAUAUGAUUAGGGGCAUUGGUUCCCGUUAGUUGUAUACCCAUUGUUUGGGAAUUUAUCAGAAAUCAAAAUAUAUAUCAACUUCUUGUUUUAUCAAUGUUGCUGUUAGUACUUUACAUUGUUAGCUUGUCUCUUUACUUUAUUUUGGUGAUUUGUUAUGUAUUGAAAAGAAUCUGCUAGAGGUACUAAUGUUGUGUGUGGUUGGGGUGAAUGAAUUUGGAAGGAAUAAAAUGAAAAUUGAACUGUAUUAUGGACAACUGUUUGAAAUUUCAUUCUGUCCUCCAUUCCAUUUUUUAAACACUAUAUUAGUGAUCAUACCCCCAAUUUGAGAAGGAAUGCUCCAUUCCCGCUUAUACCCAAUUUCUUCUCAAACCUCAUUUUAACAAUUUUGUAAUCUUUCGGUUUCUUAAAAUUUCCCUCCUAUGUUUUUACUCAUUCCCCAUUUUUCCCAAAUGAACACAACAUAACAGUUUACUAUGAUCAGUUGUCCUAGAUACUUUAUGGUAUGUGUUUAUCUACAUGUUGUUUUCGUUGAGUUUGGUGGUGGUUAUAUUGCAUCUGAAGGUCCAAGUGUAGAAAAAUUUUAGUGAGCCGAGCCAGGACCAAAAAGCUAUGUGUUUUUGCCUAAGAAAGUUUGUGAUUGCAACAUUCCACAUUCUGAAAUGCAUUUCAACCUAAUAUUAAAACCUCGAGAGGCACAAAUGAACAAUCUAGUUCACAGAGCUCUUCUGUUCCUAUGUUCAAGUGCACUGUCAGAUGUGGUCAUAGUUUGCUUUUAGUUGAACAAGGUUCAGUUCUACGCUCAAGUUUGAAUUGUUCAAGAACAAUCUAGUUCACAGAGCUCUUCUGUUCCUAUGUUCAAGUGCACUGUCAGAUGUGGUCAUAGUUUGCUUUUAGUUGAACAAGGUUCAGUUCUACGCUCAAGUUUGAAUUGUUCAAGGUUAUAAAGGACUGACAUGUAUGCUAACCUCGGCAUACAAGUUCAAAACUUAUACUAUUAAUUAUAGAAAAUAUAUUGUUUUUACAUUUUUCAGUUGGCUCUAAAAUUUAAACAAAUUUGAAUUAGAUUAGUGUAUUUUCUAUAUUUUUGUGGUACAAUACAUGAUUAUAUAUAAUUUAGCUAUGAAGCAUGGAUUUUUCGCUCACCCACCGAACUCGAUUCUUGGGAUUCUUGUUAAAUAUUUAAUUCUGUAAUUAGUUGAUUGCUUAAUCAACUAACUACCUUGUAAUGCAACAGUUGUGUUAUUAGGUAAUUAUUAUGUAAAUUAUUAAGGAUAAUGAACUUAUCUAUUUGUCCAUUUAGUUUAAAUAUAACGUAACUCUUGAAAUACAUGCAUAGUAUAUAUUUUUAAUAUUUAAUAGUUGCCGAAUUCUCCCACACCCGAAUUCCCAUAAUUUUGUAUUUUUGUUGAAUUCUCUUAUCCCCGUACCAUCUGAACCUGCACUCAUGCUUCUUAGUAAUUUAAGAUAUUAAGAAAUAAAUAAUGUAUGUCUAGUGUAUACUUUGAAUAUUUUAUAUGGGUUAACUGCCUGAUGCCUGUAAUCAGCCCGAAAAACUAUCUGGGAUUAAUUUUACAAAUUUGAUGGAUUUGAUGAUUUCUCUUCACCUGAUUAAUUUUAGCAGACCUUAGUGCACUAUUUAAGAGCCUUAAGAUUGUCGGUUCUUAAUAUAUAGAUAUAUAACUAAUUAAAUAUUUAAAAGAAAACUAGAGAUCCUCUAAACCUGUUUUAUGUACAGGUUACUUCAAUUAUUGUUUUUUUUAAUAAUAUUAUUACAUAAAUAAUUUAUCGAUCAUUUGUAUUUUGCAUGAGUAAUGAAUAUAUAUAUGUGUGUACGUUUUCUGCCUCUGAAAGGUGAAAGCUCAAGUAUUACAAAUUCAACUUAGUAAUGGUUUUUAAGUUUUACAAUAUUGAUAAGAUAUUUUUCAGUGAAGUUAUUCGCCUAAGCACAGUGUAUCUGCUAUAAAAGUUAUUUUUGUUUCAGUUUGAUCAGAGGAGACUUCCCAAGUGUCUAUAAGUCUUCAUAUGUUAAUCAGUAUUACUCAAUCCUGUAGCAUGUUUUAUCUGCUUAGCUGGUUUCAUUUUAAGAAGUCUGCAUUUUAGGCAGUAUGUUAAUUAAUAUUUGCCUUGUGACUCCUAGUUAAUCUUUUAAACUAAACACUACUAGUGAUCACUCAAACAGUUAGGAUUGCUAUUGAUACUGAGCAAUAUUUUGUUUGCUAUGAAUACUAGGCAAUAUUUUAUUUCCUCGGUGUUUGGAACAGAUUAUCUAUUUAUCGGUGAACUAGAAAAAUUAAAUACUCACCCACGUCCAAUGUUUGAACCCUCAGUUCUUUAAGAUAACAGGGUUCUAGGGAGGGAUAAUACAGAUUCAUUUAGAUCUUGUUUGGUCAUCUUGAUAUGCAAUGAAGGUUGUUCCUAUAUAUGCAGACAUUUUAGCAAGUCCUUGUAGAUGGAAGCCGAGGAAACAAUUGUGGAGUGACCAUGUGUCAUGAGUGUACAGUGUCCACCAGAGAUACCUUGAACAUGGAGCUGAAGUUGGAAGGUGGGGAAAUAAGCAUGAAUGGCUGGAAGCAGUAUAAGCUAUGCACAACUUUAAAUCCUUUUCUGAAGUUUGUACAACUAAUCUGUCCAUGGCCAUUAGAAAUACUAUUUAUUAUAGUAUAUCUUUGAUGUGCUAUCCCCUUGCUCUACUUAGUCAUGUAAUUCGAGCUGCGACAUUAUAUGACCAUAACUGACAAAUAGUUGGACCAGGUUUGUUUCUCAUAUGGCAGAGUACAUCUUUUCAUACUCUACUUGUGCCGCGGUUCCAGGGAUAAGGCUUACCUAGAUUGGGGCUGUCAACCCGUAGACGUCAUUUUAUUAUCCAACCUUAGUAUUCAUUUACCCAGGUUUCACUGUAACAAGAGCCUGUGUUGAUGUGUGAUUCUCUGCUCAUAGGUUCAUCUUUGAACAGGAUACAAAAGACCUGUAGAUCCAUUACAUUAAUCAUCGCAAAUAUUUUUACAUAUGCCAAUCAACAUGGUAAAAGCUGCAAAGCAAGAGAGCUUACAAUCAAAUCUCAAACCAACCACCUGAUUCUCAGAUAUAUAUCACUGUGUCACUUACCAACGUAUAGAUUCCUUCAACAGAAUCGCAGUGCGGAACUUGGUGCACACUGCAAAGUUUAACUUCUUCACCGGGACUGUUUCGAUCAUAUCGAAUACUGGCAUGGCACACAUCUUACAAUGACAAUCAAGAAACAUCAGUUAGUAUCAAACCUGAUGAAAAAGACAUUGAUCACGCGAGUGCAUGCUUACCUGAUAACCUCCGAUAAUGUGAAAAACAACAAACAGGCUGGCCGUUGCAAUGAGCCAUGCAGGGUUCUCUAAGCUAAUGAGUAUGUUAUCUGAAACUGCAUUUCCGUACAUCCAGUAUCCUAUUAGACCAACAGGGAAGUAGCACAAGGGCAAGGCCACGACUACUCCCUUCCACACGGACCCUUGGACGGCUUCUCAGGGGUAGAAGGGAGUGUUGCUUGAUUCUCCAAAACCACGUUGUGGCCAGCAUACGCGAAAGCAACAUCUCCCAAUGCACUGAAGAAUCCAAAAAAUGUUCCAGCAGUAAACUUGGCUGUGUACCCGUCCACGUCUGGUUGAACCCCCAUCUUAACAGAAGCUGUCCAAGCUAUAGUAGAGUAACUGCAUCAUAAAAAUCAGGCCAAAUGAUUUACUCCUUCUCAGUCGUCGUGUUUAGAGGGGCUUUCGACUUCAUAACUGAACGACAUGAUUGCUGCAGCCAAUGACACCCAAGAUAUGGAAUUGAAGUUGGGGAGAUGGACGAGGACAAACUGGACAGAGGCAAAUAUCAUAAUGAAGUUUUUAGAUUUACCAUACAGUUUUUCACAUGUUUUUCAGCAACAAAGUGUCUGUAACACAAUGCUAAAUGGAGUUUUAGCCAAACUUUGAAAUUUAGUUUAUGUGGGUGUUUGGGUGAAGGACUUCUCGGCUUAAAAGUGAGAGAAGCCGCUUCCUCUCAUUUCAUGCCUGUUUGUGUUUGGCAACUUUAAUGAAGCACUCAAUUCAAGUCAAAAAAACCCAUGAAAAAAAGCUUCGUUUCCUGGCUUUUUAUGGGGCUCAACUUCUUUCAACUUCUUUCCAUUCUCAAAGUAAGUGUUACAGUUGCCAAGGAUAGUUAUUAAUUUUGUUCUCGUAUGGUCACAAUUCACAAACUGCCCAUAUCUCACCAUUUCAUAUUAAUUUUUUUUUAGUGCAAAGUUUAAAAUUUUUAUAUACUCUUCUAUUUUUGUAUUUUUCAUGUAUUAAUAAUAAAAAAUCUUAUAUUACUAUAAUUUAUUUUUUAAAAGAAACAAAUUAUUAUAUUACAAAAUUACUAAAACUCAACUUAUAAGUUAAGUUAUCCAAACACUUAAAUAACUUAUAAGUCACGGCAUCCAAACAGUUAUAAUAGAUUAUAAGUCCAAACCAACUUCUCACUUUUAAUCCACUUCUUUACUUUAAGCAAUAAGUCACUUCUUUUAAGUCUAACCAAACAGCCCCUAUAUAUUAUACUUGAAUCUGAAUCAAAUCAAAACUCGAGUUAGAGAUAUUUUAGUUGUGUAUCGAAUCAGACUCAAAAUUUAAAAUUUUCAAGCCCCCGAGGCUUUCGAGUUGAAUUGAGUUUCCGUUUCUAAAAACUAGGCCUCGGAUAGUCCAUGAAAUCAUCAGUAAGACGCCCGUGUGUUGCAAAUCAUAGGGAAAAAGACAUGAUAUCUUAUUUUUAUCUUUUUAUAUCAAGAACCAGCAUUCUACUAAUACACUCUGCACUUCCACAAGCAUUGCCCGUUGCUUCGUUCACUUGGUUGGAAUCGUUCUGAUCUUCUGGGGUUAUCUCACUAUAGUAUUUUGAUAACAUGACCUGACUUCUGAUGCCGAAAAAAUACAGAGAAAUACAUAUGACUUGGCCUGAAUUAUGAUCUGCCUUAGGCAUUCAAUAGUUAAAUAGGUGAUAAAUCAUAGAAAUAAAUGACAUCAUAUAGUAUUUAUUUAUGGCUCACAUGUUCAACAAAUAAUGAAAAAUGCAUUGUAAUCAUACAUACAAAAGACCUACAAUUCAAAUAUACAUUGUUAAGAUAAAAUCACAUCUAAUACCAGUGAAACACGCUAAUUUACAUUGCACAAAGAGAGGAAUCAUAUAUAAAGUUGCAUAUACAAUAUAUUAAGGGAAACUGUAAACACAAACAGCAAAAGGCACCAGCUUGAUAAUGACCAAUUUAGAUAGAAAAAACCUUAAAUAUCAAAUAUUUGCGGAUUUCUGAUUUUACACACUAAUAACUGUUCCCUGCUAGUACUUUUACUUGAAACACGGUUUUGAUUUUUCGUGGUAAUCAUCAGUAGACUGAUAAUUUGAAGAAUAUUCUGAACACUUCUAUGAAAUAAGUUCUCUCAUGCCCAGAAACACUUAUGAGAAAAAUUCAUAGGUCUUGGCCUGAAUUAUGAUCUGCCUUAGCCCUCCAAUAGGUGAUAAAAUCAUCAGCAAGACUCCCAUAAUAAUGCAAAUCUGAUAUCAAGGAAUUAAAAGAAAUUAGUUGUAAAUUCAUGGCAUAUUGAAAAAUGAAGAACCCUAUAUGAUGGUGUCUACUUAUAAUAUACUGUACUGAACAUACCCAGUUGGCAAUCCAAGAGAGGCUAAAUCUCUUCGGUUUGUAGAUAGACAGCCACAUAACACAAGGGAGCUAUACAAAGUACAAUUUUUUUUAGAAUCAGAAAUAAAAUUCUUAUUUUAAAGCCAAAAAUCCUUUGGUACUGAAAAAGGUAGAGUUCCUUACGAAAUACGUGGUAGGGGCAAAGGCAAAUCCUCCGAAAAAUCCAAGGAGACCACCGAAGAAAGGGAAACAAAUGCCGACAAACAUGGUAAAAGCUGAAAGCAAAAAAAAAUUAUAAACAGAAUCUCAAAUGAUUCAUCAGAUUUGCAAGUAUAUCACCAUUUCACUUACCAACAUAUAAGUUCCUUGAAACAAAACGCAGUGCAAAACUUGGAGGGAAUUUCAAUUUCUUCACCAACACUGUUUCUAUCAUAUCAAAUACUGGCAUUGCAUAAAUCUAACAAUGUCAAACAAGAAAAGUCAGUACCAAAUGCUAGAAGAAAAACACAAAGGGUAUGUAAAGCUAUUUGGUUACCUGAUAGCUCCCGAUAACGUGGAAAACAACAAACAUGUUGGCCAUUGCGAUGAGCCACUUAGGGUUUUUUAAGGUAAUGAGUAUGUUAUCUGAAACUGAAUUUCCAAACAUCCAAUAUCCUAUUAGAGCAACAGGGAAGUAGCACAAGGCCACAACUAUGUAUGCUACGACGACUCCCUUCCACAUUGGACCCUUGGACGGCUUCUCAGGGGUAGAAGGGAUUGUUGCUUGAAUUUCCAAAACCACAUUGUGGCCAGCAUACGCAAAAGCAACAUCUCCCAGAGCACUUAAAAAGCCAAAAACUGUUCCUGCAGUAGACUUGGCUUUGUAGCCGUAUUCAACAUCUGGUUGAACUCCUUUCUUAACAGAGGAUGUCCAAGCAAUGGUGGAGUAACUGCAUUCAUAAAGUUACACCAAAUGAUUUAGUCAUUCAAAUAAAUUAUUAGGUUAAAUAGGUUUCCGGCAGUUUAACAUGUUGUUAAGUUACUUUCCUACUUGGUGUGCUUUGUUUACAGAACUUUUGGACUUUAAGCAGAUUCUAUAACUCUUCUUGAACUUUGGUUCAAAGGAAGCAUACAUAUGUGAUUUUUAAAUUGUAGAGCAAUUAAGUGAAUUCAUCGCUAAUUAAAACUAAUUAUUCAGAUAAAUAAUUUCAGAAAAUAUAUCAUACCUUAAGGACAUAAUUGCGGCAACCAACGACACCCAUGAAAUGGAAUUGAAGUUGGGGAGAUGGGAGAUGACAAAAUGGACAGAGGCAAAUAUCAUAAUGAAGUAGGUCAGCUUGAUAUCUUUGCAAUCAUCUGAGCAGACUAAAUUAUGAAAUUUUUGCAGAGAUUUUCCUCCUGUGACCAUGUAGACAAUGUCCACACCUACUUCCACAAUAAGCUGUUGAGGCACAACAAUGUAGAGACCAAGCUUUUCUCCAAAAGCGUACUGCCCUAGCUCGUGGUACCUGUCGAAACGUCUCCCAGGAACCAUUUCAUGCAUCUCUACCAUCUGCCACAAUGUGUAUAAGGUGACAACCCAAGAUAUUACUAGAACAGCAACACCCGGACCCCUGAACAUUAAGGACAACUAUUAGUUAGACACUUUUAAAAUAUCAGGCAUAGAAAUUAUGCUUUAGUGUACAUCAAAUUGCAAACUAUUAUUUCUUCAAUAAAUAUAAUUUUUAGGCUGAUUUGCUAGAACAUUAAAUCUCUUGUUAGCAAGAAAAAGAUAGACAUCCACUAGGCCGCAACAAUUAAUAUUCAAUUUUAAGUUGAAAUUCUUUGAGCUUGACUGCAAAAACAGAGAUCAGCAAGACAUGAAAAAAAAUUUGGCUGAUAUAAUUUGAAUUUAUUGUGAAAGCUAGAAAGCUAUAUUUUGUUACUCUGCAGAUGAUCUUUUGACUAUUUACUAAAGGUAUAGUUCAUAUUAUGUUAUUAGGGUAUCCAAAUGCCCUGAUAAGUUAGAGAUAUGUACCAUCCUAGUUCUGACAUGGCAUAAGGAAGACUGAGAACUCCAGCUCCAACCAUAGCAGUGACAUUGUGAAAUGCAGAGUACCACCAUUUUGCUUCCCUCGACGAUGUUAUGGGAAGCCAAUCAUCAAUGGCUUUCUCUUUCGCAGACCUUCGGUCAACCUGUUAAAGAUAAUACACCAGCUUAUUAUAUAGGAAAUAUAACAUAUACUAAUACAAAGUAUAUCAAGUUCUUAGCAGUAAUCUGCAUAUUCAAGUGGUUUAUUGUUACUCCACCUAUUUACUUGCAGGAGCAGACAUUAGAAUCAUACCAGGGUCCUAUUCAACAUUGGCAAAAUUUCCAUUAAUUAGUGCAAUUCUUACUAAACUUUUCAAAUCAUUUGCAAUUAUUCUUGUUGCCAUUAAAAAGUCACAAGUGUUUCUCAAAAAAAUGUUUUUUUUCAGCUUAUAUUACUCGGAUUCAGUUACAAGUGUCCAACAUGAAUACAUAUUCUAGCGUGAGACUAGAUAAUAGUUUUAAAUAUAUACAGUAAGUGUUAAAUAAGAGUAUGCAUGGGUCCAUAUUUGAGUAUCUAAGUAUGAGACUCAGUAACAUUUUAAAAUAUACAUAGUUUUUGUUUAAUAAAAGUGUCCACGUAUCCAUAAACACGGGUACUCGACCGUAAAACGAAAAUUACAAAUAACAUAGUACUUUUUAGCCAAAGACAUACAGAACAAUACAAUGAGUUAGCAUGCUGAUUGAAGUUCAUGAAUCUAUCCAAUUGACAAUUGAUAGCUCCAAGUGUUUGGGAAAGCAGGGCAACUUUUUUCCAUUAACUUUUUAACAAGUACAGAAUUGCUUUCUAAAAGUAUCAGAUCUUCUACCCAAAAAGUAGAUCUCCAAGACAGGAACCUCGGCAUAUCAUUUAAUUUGACAGAAAAGGUUACUAUCAAUAAACCCCAUAUUUUUGAAAUUAAUAAAGAAUAUAACUUAACAAAGCAUUAAAAUAAUCUUAAGACCAUAAAACACUCGUGAUACUUGAUAAAAUAAGAAAAGCAUGAAAGUAAUAACACCCAGCAAGUUGAGCGCCACGGAAAAUAAUAAUAAAAUAAUGAAAUAAAAAGCCAAAAAUUGUCAACCAAGAACGUGGUUGCAUGAGAGCAAUAAGCUAACUGAUCGAUUGAUGUAACACAUCGCACAUGCUGUGGCGUAAUCACUGCCCUAAUUUAUACACACAAAUUAGGUUUUAGAUAUAAUAUGUAUUUUUCCGUUGACUAUGAAGCUUGAAUCGAUUUUUGAGUCAACUUAACGAGUGACGUGUAUAUACAAUUUUAUUACUAUGUGACCUUGAAGCCGUACAUAUUUGGUUAGCCACAAAAGUAACUGAGAUUUGUGAAUCGGAGCUAAUAUAAUGAGAUCAUAAUUGGAUUAUUGGGACAACGAAAUUGUUUCCGGUCUUCUAAUCUGUUCCCCGUAUACUUGAGCAGAUUUCUAUUGAAUUUUAGUCCGAAUGAUAUACGUAGAAGCAUAAAAACGAAAAAUAUCUAUAACUACAAUAUGAGAGAGGGAGAUGGAGAGAGAGAGAGAGCUGGAGAGAGAGAGAUGGGGAGAGGGAGGGAGGGAGGGAGAGAGAGAGAGAUUUACAUUGGUGUUGUCGGGGCGUUGAUCGUUGUAAGAUUGAGAAACCAUUGUCGCAGGAACAGAAAUACUGGGGGGGUGCGUUAUAAAACAAGACAGAGGAAUGCAGAGAAGAAACUGUACUAUCAAAGGUUUUAUUACAACUUAAUUACACAGACUCUUCCUGUUUCUAUGCAUCUCAUCUCGUUUAUAUAGGAGGUGCAUGUAUGAUGUAUUGUAGCCUGCUCUACAGAGUCAAUUGGUCAAAUUUUUCCGAGUUAAAUCAGGACAGCCUAUAACGAUAAGAUUUACCAUAUAUAUUUGGCAUCCUAACAAAAAUAAAUAGGUAAACAUAUUUUAAUUCAGAUUUUUCUUUAACAUGAAUCAAUUCACAGCAAUUUUUCCUUUUUUCAUGAUUAUGUACAGAUCUUUAUAAUUAUUAACAGAUAUUUGCUAUAAAGAUGCUUUUAUUGUAGCGUGAUUCUAAUAAAAAAAGAAUUCUUAUAUUCAACAACUUAUAAUAUAAUUAUACCAUCUAUAAAUAAAUUAUAUUCAAUUAUAAAUUGAGAUUUGUUGAUGAAAAUAAAUUAAUAAAUGUCAAUUCAUCAAGUUAUAAACUAAUUAUUUUAAACAUGAUGUUUCAGUGUACAUAUUAUUUAAAGACUAAUCAAAAUGUAUGGUGAGAUAUUACAUUAAGUAGUAGUGAUUGACUCUUUUAAAUUGAAUUGAUUGAUGUCAUAAAUUUUUUUUAUAAAUGAUUUAAUUGUUAAUUGUGCCCUGAUUAAAGUGAAUUUGUACUAUUCAUGGGUGGUCAUAAAUGAUGGAGUAUAUUUUGGCUUGUAAGAAACAAUCAAAUAUAUUUUAAUUAUUUUAGUGUCUAAGCAAAGAUCCUUCUUUGGUUAGAUUUUAUUUUAUUUUUUCAACUUCAGAAAUAUAAACACACACUUCUAAAAUACUUUAUUAUAAAUACUUUAUUAUUGGAUAUAUUAUCCUUUAUAAUUCUUUAACUUAUAUAAUUUUGUAUAUGAACUUAUCUUCUUCUUUUUUCGUAUUUUUUUUUUUUUUUGCAGGAUCCUUGGAAGGUGUUAAAUGGAUAUUUUCCUAUCAGACAUUAAAGCAUUAUUAUCUAAACGUCCGGAGAUAUCUUUGCAUGUCUUUCGGUUAGAUGAUAAUCUUUUUUGAAUGAAUGAAAUUCCUUGUAGCGGCUUAUCGUAUCUCGAGAUACAACUCAUCUACGAGUAUGUAGAUCCUGACAAAAAAAAAGUGGAAACUUAAUUCCAUCAAAAAAAAAGAGUGGAAACUUAAUCAAGAAAAUCUCGCAAAGUUCAACAGAUUAGGAUACGAUAAUUAACAACCGUGCUUACCUUUUAUAAUUUAGAUAUACAUAUAUUAGAAAUAGAAUUUCAUUACUUCACGCAACGGAAAAUAAAUUUGAAGGUUGUAAUUGCGGUAAAAGAGAGUAAAUAAAUGCAAAGAGUGCAGGUUUCCACAAUUCUACAAGGAUUUCUCCUAAUUUUCUUUCUACACCAACGGAAAACACUAGAAGGAAAAACACAAUUUGCUCCACUUUUCACCCACAAUUUGCAAGUACCAUGCAGCACAGCUUUUCUUUAUUGGGGAGAGGAUACUUAUUAUAUCAAUUUCUUGUUAUAUUUAGCCGGUCUUUUGCAACAAACUAUGUCAUGAUUUUUAAGGCAAAAAUCGUGUCGAUUCUCGUGUGAAGAGAAUUUCGCUGUAUUGUCAUUCUCUUUCUAUCCCAAAUUAGAUGAGCUCGUUGAUUUUGGACACGCAUUUUAAUGUCCAUUGACCAUAUAGCUACAUUACCUAUUUUUAAAAUUUUAUUUUUGCAAAUAAAAAUUUAAAUAUAAAAUUUUCAUUUACAAAAAAAAUUGAAAAAAUAAAUUUCAAAACUAGACGGUCAAUGCACCUUAGGUUACGUGCCCAAAGUCAACUAGCUCAUCUAAUUUGGGAUGGAGUGAGUAUUGUUUAUUCGCCUUAACGAUUCUUUCUAAAAUGUUUGACAUUACAAAUCGAGAAAGGGAAAAUCGAUUUUUUUGUCACUAAACUAUUAACUAUUUUAGAAACUUACCACCUAACAAAAUUUAUAUUUAAUACAACCAUUAACGUUUUGAACGUUUAUGAUUGUAACCACUCCGUUAGUUUUUAUAUGGAAACAGCUUAAAAGGUUGCCAGCGUGGAUUGUUUAUAUGUUUUUGCUAAGUGAUUUGUUUGUUUAUGUACGUGACUUUUCUACUUUAUAACUCCUUCACCAACUGAAUGGCACACAUGAGUACCACCACUCGGAAAAAGAACAUAAAAGCUGAUAUAUAUAAAAAGAGAGAAAUUCCCAGCCAAAUCAAUGAAAGACAAUGGGAUAACAACCACAAAUAAAAUCUAAAAAACACCUUUAAAAUCACUGAACGGAGUCCCAGUGCUUCAACCCUAAAAGCAGAAACAUAUUGAAUAAUGUACACCACAAAAUCUUUUAAAUCAUCUGGUUCUUCAUUCAAAUCUUCAUACUGUGAAUUUAAAUAUCACUUCACACUUCAAAUAUAGAUAGAAUAGCAGCAGAUUUCUUAACAAAUAAUAACUUCAGUUUUGGAAUUAUCCACUGUCAUAGCAGUAAUAAAAUAUUUUAAAUUAUGGCAGCCUUCAAAAAGGUCUCCAGGGAACCACAUCAAACUGAUAACAAUUUUAAAGCAAAAAAAAAGUAAUUCUGUUCUGGCAAAAUAAAGCAUGGUUCAUGACCAUUUCAUUCAUCUGACCAUUCCAAAAUACCAGGUUCAUUUUGGCACUUUAUACUAAAAUCAAGAAACAAGUUCAUGAUCAUAUCAGUUUUACUAACAUAAACAAAAGCUAUAGAGAUUUAAUCGUUCUGCUCCUCAUUUCUUGGCACAAGUAGGCUGUCAACUUGUGACUUUCAUUGUGGUUGUUGACGAAGACAAGUAGGUGUGCCCAUCAUCUCCCACAAAUACACCAACACCAGAUGUUUUUUUCACCUUCUGAACUGGGGGAGCUGCUUUUGGUGGCCUUCCUCUUUUCUUUGGUUGCGCUGGAGGUUCUGUACUUGUCGUUGCCUUUUUUUUUUGCCCAGGAUUUGCUGAUGUACGUGUAUGUCCAUCUUUGGUCUGCAUUAUCAUCAUAAAUACAUGUUUAAACACGUUGAAAUAAAUCGACUGAUGAGUAUAAAAUUUCAAAAUACCUGCUGUGUUUUCUUUCUAACAUUCUGUUUAUUUCUCAGAGAAUGUGCUUUUGCAGCUACACUUUGAGCCUUUUUGGCUUCCGCUGCCUUUUUCUGAUUUUCUAGCACCUCUGCUUCUGAAGUUUUGCAAGUAGCUCUAUUAUGACCAAUUACCAGACACCUACUGCACCUCAUAAGAAUACCUUUUUUUGAGAGUUUGGUACCACCCCCCUCUUCAUCAGCCUCCCUUCUUCUGUGUUUUUUUAUCAACUCCCCAUCCUCUAUCAUUUUAUCAACUCUCUCACACCCAAGAACAUUGUUAUCUUCAAACUGAGGAAAUAUAUUUCCAAGCAAGUCCAGUUCAUACGGCACCAACUCAUUCCACUGUGGCAUGUCACCCAUGUAUUCAUCAUAUUGUUUCGCACACCAUUUUUCAUGCCUUUCAUGCUGGUCCACAUGUUGCUGAUCAUUUAGAUACAAUGGGUGCACUGGAGCAUUAUAAUCACCGUUAUUUAUAUGCAUGUCGGUCAGAUUACCCUCCUUCAGAGGAUCAAUUUGUCCAUCCAGUAACUUCUUUUUAUUCUCUCUAAUACUCUGUAAUUCAUCGUCAACAUCUGAUUCAAUAUCAAUAUCAUUAUCAGAAAUAAACUCAUCCCCAUCUCCAGAACUAUCACUGUAAUCCUCAUCCUCAAAAUUAGAAUCAUCUCCUUCAUUGUCCGCAGAACUCACAUGCUCCUCUACAACAUUUUUUUGUUUUUCUUCGGCACAAUGAUCAACGAAUAAAGACACAUAACCUAAUGACAGAGCAUCUCUGUGAAGUUUUCUAACUGAUUCAUCAUUCCAAAGAAAUACAUAACUUUCUUUACCAGUGGUUAAGGGGUUUUGGUAGUACAGUUUCAGACCAUUGCCAUACCCAAUGUCAUGUAAAAAAUUAAGAAAACGAUCAAUAGUUAGUGCACUCACAUCAACGUUGUAAAUAUUAUCGAUUGUACCUCCCUUGUAAUAGUAGACGCCUUCUCUCGUUUCAAACUUGCCCCCAUGAUGAAUCUCAACUUUGCAGAUUGUAUCCAUCAACGACCAAGCUUUCCAGAACCCUAGAUUUGUGCUUAAUCUUUUGUAAAAGAGGGUUUUUGCUGUGACCUCUCUGUAUCCCCCGCUUAAUGAUUACAGUACAUAUUCAUUUCAUUUUUAUAUUUAUUUAAUAAUAUAUGAUUACAUGUCAUCAUCCAUGUGGAACAAAACUUAACAGACGUUAAGUAUUUUUAACAGAAUGAUUAGAUUCUAAUAAGAAAAUUAAUUGAAGCCUUACUCUAAGAUAAAAUUUUGUUGGGUGGUAAGUUUCUAAAAUAGUUAAUAGUUUAGUGACAAAAAAAUCGAUUUUCCCAUCGAGAAAAGAUAAAGAGAUAAAUCGAGUCGUUGAUUUAUGGUGCAUACGAGUAAUUUUGUUUUUUUCGCUAUUUGGUUACAAUCUCGUCUUUGUUAAAGGAAUGUAGCAUGUGUGGAGGGAUAAAGUUACCGAAGAAAAGAAGAGAAGUACCCCUCUGUUAAUAUUAGUAAAUCGUUUCAAAUUUUGACAAAUUUUUAGAUAUAUUUAGCUAAAUAAUAAAAUUUAUAGUUAUUAUUUUGAAAAUAUAUAUAUAUAUAAUAAAUCUGAAAAUAACAAUUUUAUUUCACGUCAUAAGUCGAAGUGAUAAAAGAAAGGGAGAGAGUAGCAUGGAGCAUGCAGCAUGUAGCAUGAGUCAUAUACGUACAAUAUGUACCUUGAAAAUUUUUAACUUGCUAAUUUGCUAUAGAUAUUACGAGAAGGUUGCUGAACGAGAUACGAGAUUAUAUGAGUAUCAAUUAUGAGAAAAGUUAUAAGGAGUUUAUAUUUAAAUUGGAGUUUUGCGAUAUUAUUUUUUAAAAUUAAAAUGUUGAUUUUUGUAAUAAGAUCAAAACACCUGUAAUUACGUGUAAAUGAUAAAAUGAUUUAUAAAUAGAAUUCAAAAAAAUAUUAUAAUAAAAAUUAUGACUUGACAAACUAAAGACUUGAGAUAAAUUUCGGUAACGCCACGUACCCCAGUGCCUAAGUUCCCACGUCGCAUAAAUAUGAUAUUUUUAAUUAGAUGAUUGAUGUGUAUACUGGAAGCGCAUUAAUAAGCGUGAGAGGAAGCAAUUAUAUAUUGCCGUGUUAAUUUGAGGAAAAAGUUGGGAACAAUUUUUUGUCAUGUGAAUUUAAGGAAAAAAGUUGGGUGAGUACCUAACAUUUUUCCCUAUGAAGCGCCUGAAUCUGAAAAAUGUGUAACGGUCAUUAGAUUUCGUGAUAAGAAGAAUGUAAGCAGACAUUCCCCGUAAGAGAGGGAUUGAUGGCAAAUUGCAAAGAAGUCACAGGCCGCCUUUUUAAAUUUUUUUUUUUUUUUUCCUUCUUCUGCUAAAUGGCCUUUUUAAAAUUUCAAUGCCUCAAUUACCCUGCACUGCUCGAAUUAGAGGAACUGAUGUGGUAGCCUGGUAGGGAGGGCACUGAUUCUCAUUUUUACCCUCAACGAAAUUCCGAGGACAUGAAUGAGAUCCUCCCAGGACUCUAGGAGGAUCAAACACGACACGGACGAACUACCUCUCUCUCUCUCUCUCUCUCUCUCUCUCUCUCUCUCUCUCUGUUUCUCUCUCUCCCUCUCUCUCCUUCUCUCUCUGUAUCUCUCUCCCUCUGCCUUUCUUUCUCUGUUUAUCUCUCCCUCUCUGUCUCUCUCUCUCCUCCUCUCUCUAUGUUCUCUCUGUUUGUGUUUUUCUGAUAAUGAGAGACAAAACAAAAGUGUAUGAAUGUAUUGCAAAUUUGCAACAGAAUUAUAGAAAGAUAAACCGGACAGUACUAUCUGGUCCAUUUCAAGUCUUUCCCUCUGAUGAUAAAAAAGGAGAAAGUUCAUUCUUUUGCACGUGCUGACUUGCGCGUGAACCAACAUUCCCUACCCAGUGUAAAGGACUACUAUUCUAAUUUUCUAUAUAUGAAUAUAAAUGUGUGCUCUAAAAUAAGGUUUCUAGUUUAGGUAGCUGGUAUAUAUGGCCAUAAAACAACCACAAAAAUUAAUAGGGAAAAUCGAUUUUUUUGUCACUAAACUAUUAACUAUUUUAGAAACUUACCACCUAACAAAAUUUAUAUUUAAUACAACCAUUAACGUUUUGAACGUUUAUGAUUGUAACCACUCCGUUAGUUUUUAUAUGGAAACAGCUUAAAAGGUUGCCAGCGUGGAUUGUUUAUAUGUUUUUGCUAAGUGAUUUGUUUGUUUAUGUACGUGACUUUUCUACUUUAUAACUCCUUCACCAACUGAAUGGCACACAUGAGUACCACCACUCGGAAAAAGAACAUAAAAGCUGAUAUAUAUAAAAAGAGAGAAAUUCCCAGCCAAAUCAAUGAAAGACAAUGGGAUAACAACCACAAAUAAAAUCUAAAAAACACCUUUAAAAUCACUGAACGGAGUCCCAGUGCUUCAACCCUAAAAGCAGAAACAUAUUGAAUAAUGUACACCACAAAAUCUUUUAAAUCAUCUGGUUCUUCAUUCAAAUCUUCAUACUGUGAAUUUAAAUAUCACUUCACACUUCAAAUAUAGAUAGAAUAGCAGCAGAUUUCUUAACAAAUAAUAACUUCAGUUUUGGAAUUAUCCACUGUCAUAGCAGUAAUAAAAUAUUUUAAAUUAUGGCAGCCUUCAAAAAGGUCUCCAGGGAACCACAUCAAACUGAUAACAAUUUUAAAGCAAAAAAAAAGUAAUUCUGUUCUGGCAAAAUAAAGCAUGGUUCAUGACCAUUUCAUUCAUCUGACCAUUCCAAAAUACCAGGUUCAUUUUGGCACUUUAUACUAAAAUCAAGAAACAAGUUCAUGAUCAUAUCAGUUUUACUAACAUAAACAAAAGCUAUAGAGAUUUAAUCGUUCUGCUCCUCAUUUCUUGGCACAAGUAGGCUGUCAACUUGUGACUUUCAUUGUGGUUGUUGACGAAGACAAGUAGGUGUGCCCAUCAUCUCCCACAAAUACACCAACACCAGAUGUUUUUUUCACCUUCUGAACUGGGGGAGCUGCUUUUGGUGGCCUUCCUCUUUUCUUUGGUUGCGCUGGAGGUUCUGUACUUGUCGUUGCCUUUUUUUUUUGCCCAGGAUUUGCUGAUGUACGUGUAUGUCCAUCUUUGGUCUGCAUUAUCAUCAUAAAUACAUGUUUAAACACGUUGAAAUAAAUCGACUGAUGAGUAUAAAAUUUCAAAAUACCUGCUGUGUUUUCUUUCUAACAUUCUGUUUAUUUCUCAGAGAAUGUGCUUUUGCAGCUACACUUUGAGCCUUUUUGGCUUCCGCUGCCUUUUUCUGAUUUUCUAGCACCUCUGCUUCUGAAGUUUUGCAAGUAGCUCUAUUAUGACCAAUUACCAGACACCUACUGCACCUCAUAAGAAUACCUUUUUUUGAGAGUUUGGUACCACCCCCCUCUUCAUCAGCCUCCCUUCUUCUGUGUUUUUUUAUCAACUCCCCAUCCUCUAUCAUUUUAUCAACUCUCUCACACCCAAGAACAUUGUUAUCUUCAAACUGAGGAAAUAUAUUUCCAAGCAAGUCCAGUUCAUACGGCACCAACUCAUUCCACUGUGGCAUGUCACCCAUGUAUUCAUCAUAUUGUUUCGCACACCAUUUUUCAUGCCUUUCAUGCUGGUCCACAUGUUGCUGAUCAUUUAGAUACAAUGGGUGCACUGGAGCAUUAUAAUCACCGUUAUUUAUAUGCAUGUCGGUCAGAUUACCCUCCUUCAGAGGAUCAAUUUGUCCAUCCAGUAACUUCUUUUUAUUCUCUCUAAUACUCUGUAAUUCAUCGUCAACAUCUGAUUCAAUAUCAAUAUCAUUAUCAGAAAUAAACUCAUCCCCAUCUCCAGAACUAUCACUGUAAUCCUCAUCCUCAAAAUUAGAAUCAUCUCCUUCAUUGUCCGCAGAACUCACAUGCUCCUCUACAACAUUUUUUUGUUUUUCUUCGGCACAAUGAUCAACGAAUAAAGACACAUAACCUAAUGACAGAGCAUCUCUGUGAAGUUUUCUAACUGAUUCAUCAUUCCAAAGAAAUACAUAACUUUCUUUACCAGUGGUUAAGGGGUUUUGGUAGUACAGUUUCAGACCAUUGCCAUACCCAAUGUCAUGUAAAAAAUUAAGAAAACGAUCAAUAGUUAGUGCACUCACAUCAACGUUGUAAAUAUUAUCGAUUGUACCUCCCUUGUAAUAGUAGACGCCUUCUCUCGUUUCAAACUUGCCCCCAUGAUGAAUCUCAACUUUGCAGAUUGUAUCCAUCAACGACCAAGCUUUCCAGAACCCUAGAUUUGUGCUUAAUCUUUUGUAAAAGAGGGUUUUUGCUGUGACCUCUCUGUAUCCCCCGCUUAAUGAUUACAGUACAUAUUCAUUUCAUUUUUAUAUUUAUUUAAUAAUAUAUGAUUACAUGUCAUCAUCCAUGUGGAACAAAACUUAACAGACGUUAAGUAUUUUUAACAGAAUGAUUAGAUUCUAAUAAGAAAAUUAAUUGAAGCCUUACUCUAAGAUAAAAUUUUGUUGGGUGGUAAGUUUCUAAAAUAGUUAAUAGUUUAGUGACAAAAAAAUCGAUUUUCCCAUCGAGAAAAGAUAAAGAGAUAAAUCGAGUCGUUGAUUUAUGGUGCAUACGAGUAAUUUUGUUUUUUUCGCUAUUUGGUUACAAUCUCGUCUUUGUUAAAGGAAUGUAGCAUGUGUGGAGGGAUAAAGUUACCGAAGAAAAGAAGAGAAGUACCCCUCUGUUAAUAUUAGUAAAUCGUUUCAAAUUUUGACAAAUUUUUAGAUAUAUUUAGCUAAAUAAUAAAAUUUAUAGUUAUUAUUUUGAAAAUAUAUAUAUAUAUAAUAAAUCUGAAAAUAACAAUUUUAUUUCACGUCAUAAGUCGAAGUGAUAAAAGAAAGGGAGAGAGUAGCAUGGAGCAUGCAGCAUGUAGCAUGAGUCAUAUACGUACAAUAUGUACCUUGAAAAUUUUUAACUUGCUAAUUUGCUAUAGAUAUUACGAGAAGGUUGCUGAACGAGAUACGAGAUUAUAUGAGUAUCAAUUAUGAGAAAAGUUAUAAGGAGUUUAUAUUUAAAUUGGAGUUUUGCGAUAUUAUUUUUUAAAAUUAAAAUGUUGAUUUUUGUAAUAAGAUCAAAACACCUGUAAUUACGUGUAAAUGAUAAAAUGAUUUAUAAAUAGAAUUCAAAAAAAUAUUAUAAUAAAAAUUAUGACUUGACAAACUAAAGACUUGAGAUAAAUUUCGGUAACGCCACGUACCCCAGUGCCUAAGUUCCCACGUCGCAUAAAUAUGAUAUUUUUAAUUAGAUGAUUGAUGUGUAUACUGGAAGCGCAUUAAUAAGCGUGAGAGGAAGCAAUUAUAUAUUGCCGUGUUAAUUUGAGGAAAAAGUUGGGAACAAUUUUUUGUCAUGUGAAUUUAAGGAAAAAAGUUGGGUGAGUACCUAACAUUUUUCCCUAUGAAGCGCCUGAAUCUGAAAAAUGUGUAACGGUCAUUAGAUUUCGUGAUAAGAAGAAUGUAAGCAGACAUUCCCCGUAAGAGAGGGAUUGAUGGCAAAUUGCAAAGAAGUCACAGGCCGCCUUUUUAAAUUUUUUUUUUUUUUUUCCUUCUUCUGCUAAAUGGCCUUUUUAAAAUUUCAAUGCCUCAAUUACCCUGCACUGCUCGAAUUAGAGGAACUGAUGUGGUAGCCUGGUAGGGAGGGCACUGAUUCUCAUUUUUACCCUCAACGAAAUUCCGAGGACAUGAAUGAGAUCCUCCCAGGACUCUAGGAGGAUCAAACACGACACGGACGAACUACAUAGCUACUUUCAGAAACAUAGGCACACAGAAACAGAAGCAUGCCCGUCCUUUUAGAGCAAAUGCAUCACUGAUCCAAAUAUCCAAAUUUGGGGCCGAUUAUAUUCUAGUAAUAAUCCAAAAAGUGAUCCAAAUCGGUGAACAAAUUUGGAUAAUGAACCUGUUCACUGAUCCAAAUUUGGAUUAUCUACUUUAUUAUAAACUAAUUAUUUUGUUAUUUUUACAUUUUUCGUUUAUCGGACCUAAAAUUAAUUUUUGAUUAUUAAUAUUUAAUUAAUAAUGGUUUAUAAUCAAUAAUUAAUAAAAAAUGUUUUAAUAAAAACUUAGAAUAAUAGGAAAGCAAAUUUCACUAAAAUUAAAAAAAGUACAUUACAUGCAUAAAAUAAAAAGUACAUAAAAUGCAUAAAAUAAAAUCAAAAAAUGACUAGAAUACAGUACGAUAAAUAUAAAUUUUGAUUUAGUCAAACAGAUUAUUUCUGUUUCUUCCAAGAUAAUCAAAAUAUUGUUCGUAGCUAUUGAUAUCGUUUCCAGAUCCUUGAGCUUCAUCUUCAUUUCCUUGAUUUUGAGAUACUUUGAAUGAUGUUAAUAAAAUAAUUAAAUUAAUUAAUUAAAUAUUAUAUAACUAGUUAAUAAUGAUUAAAAAUUAAAAUUUAAGAUUAUGUAAUUUGAUAUAGAAUUUAUGUAAUAUAAUAUACAAAAAGUAAUUUGGAUCAGAAUUUGGAUUGGAUCACGCUGCUGGAGUUGAUCAGAAAUUUGAAUCAAAAUUUGGAUUAGUUGGUGAUCCAAAUUUAGAUCUUUGGAUCACAACUGCUGGAGAUGGCCUUAGGGACGACCAUUUAUGUUCGUCACCCUCUUUUAUAUAUCAAUGACUAUAUAUAUUUAGAAUAAAUAUUUAUUGUACAAGAGAAAUAUUCAAAAAAAUAUCAUGUGUUAACAAUUUUAAAAACUCUUGUGUGUAUAUGAUCAAACAAUUAAAAGAAAUUUAUAUAUUAAACUAGCAUAUUCGUUCUCUAUAUAAUCGAACAUUGCUCAGAAAAAAAAGAGAUAGAUUAAAGAGAUUUGUUUUCUUAUGUAAAACCCUGAAUACAUGUACAUGUGUGUGUUUUGCAGCAGUUUCAGUUUGUGUGCGACUUUUUUUUUUUUUGCUAAGUUUGUGUGCGACUUUUUUAAGAUCGAAUAUGAUUGAGUUUACGUAUUUAGGGUCAAAAAUGUAAAUUUCCAAAAAUUAAAUUAAAUUUUUUAUUCAAUUUAUGUAUACAACGCUACUGGUUUAAUGGUGUUGAGGGAGGAAUUUGGUAAUAAACAAAGAUGAAGUUCAUGGCCGGAAUCAAGAUCUAUGACGGUGGUUCUGGCUGCCGAAGUGUGGUGGUUGUGUGUUUGGGGGUAGCUGAGAUUAGAGUUUUGAGUUGCCUACUUGUGCUCUCAACUCAUGAUCCCCUAACAUGCCUACGUACCCCUAUAUUUAUAGGGGAUCAAGCCAUACGUAGUUCUAUUGAACCAAGACUCCUAGUUUGAUCAAGACUAGGCCUCUUGGGGAUAAGACCAACCUGAAGCCGGUGACUUAUCACUUAGAGUUCUACUCCAGUUAGAAUUAAGCCUUGAGGCCAACUACCUCAGAUUCCUAGUCCAAGUACAUCACGGAUACGACAUUAUCUCCACUACGAGAGAUCACACUAACCGCUACUUUUCGUAGCAUGGAGGAGACGUCUGGUAGAGCCGUGACCAAUUCCUUGAGGUGUAAGGACAUGUCCUCCCUCCUUAGUGAAGGUUUUCACUAAGAGGUAAGACAAAUAAGGAGCCAAGUUACACGAUCGUCUCAAUCCUCCAAUGAGGGCUAACUCACCAGAAUACAGGAUCCAGACAUAUGAUCGGCCUUCGUGUCACCCCUGAGGGCCUUCAAGAGCCAUGAUCACCUCAAGCCCCCACACGAGGGUUAACUCGGCAGAUAGCAUGAUUGAGGAUUGUAGAUCAUGCCCAGAUGAGCCCGGGAACUAUCAGAUGAGCCUGACAACUACCAGAUGAGACUAAUAACUAGUCUUCAUAUCCCUCGGAAGGGUUGUCUUCAAUAUAUCCACCGGAGGGGUCGUCACUGAGACUCACUCAUCCUCUCACAUAAUGCGUCCACAUGUGGGCGCGACCCCUGGGCGCGCCCUGAACUCCGUUGCCUUGUCCGAUCAGUUGUCCCAACAACAGGUCAGACCUGUCUUCUAAUAUCCGAAGGUCGCGCCCCCGGAGACACUCCAAGAAGGGCGCGCCCUUGGUCUUCACCUCCUGCCCCCAUCGGUUGCUGACCGUAAGCACGCUUGAAGUGUACCUGCCUUAAGGACCGCGCCUUUCGGGAAUGUCCCGAGGAGGGCGCGCCCUUGCCUUAAUGCGUAGCCAAAAUUGGCUAUAACACAUGGUUUGUCUAACAAUGAAUCGAGUCCACUCAUCCACGUAUUGAGAGUACAUCUGAAUAUCUACGGAGUACAAAGAAAGUUAAAGACUAUAGAUUAGUGGAAGAGCGAAGUAUGGAGAAACUUAUCGAUUACUUAAUCACGGAAGUGAUUGACUUGUUAGGAUCCAAGAAUCUGCGUCCCGGCCUACCCCAUAUAUAUUCUGAUUCUAGCUUCAUAAUUAUAUUUUUAAUAUGUCUAAAUGGUACUUAACACAAUCAUGUGUUACAAUGUGCAUAAAACAGGGCGUCAUGAUUGCUCCAAAUUCGUUAAAGAUACAUUGCACAUCAAAAUUAUCAGUCAUAUGAAAGCACACACUUGUUAUGAAACUUAAAGAAAGGAAAAAUUGUAGUUCGACCACCGAAGCUUGCAAGUGUGAAGUGCGCACAACCUGAUCACAAAUCACAUGAUAUCUUAUGAUUUUUUUUUUAUUUUACAUUUUUGACUUUACAUGAAAUCUCUCUAUUACGAUAAUUUUUAUAUAUUUCUUACACUUUUGUUAUUCACUUAUAAACUAAACACUAUCCAGAAGACACACAAGACACAUCAUACUUUCUGAUUAUAAUUAUAUAUUAUUUGACCGUAAUCUAUUAUUUUUAAAAAUGAACUCUCGAAUUUUGGAUUCUAAUCACUUGUCGAGUAUCACCAGGUCAUAAUUCUAAAGUCAUGUUUGAAAGGGCCGUUUGGUUGAGUUUAAAAUAAGUGCUUCUUGCUUAAAAUAAAAAAAGUGGAAUAGAAGUUAGAAACUAGUUAAGACUCAUAAGUGAUUAAAGUGAUUGACAAAGAAAUAAAAGUUCUGAAACAAAAGCUAGCAUUCCUAGCUUUUUAUAAGUGUUUCUUGAUUUAUUACACAAACGGUAUGAAUAAGUGUUUUUAACUUAUAACCGAGAAGCUGAGCUUUUAAGAGGGUAAACAAACACCUAUGAAAUAUUGUUCUCUUGUUUACUUGACAUCUUCUUAUUGUAAGUAUUUUAUCACACUUUUAUUAUUAGCCUUUCUUUCUUCUAACCUCUUAUAAAUUGAGUAGUCAAAAUACCUCCAAUAAUAUCGUAUGGUCUAUUCGUUUGUUAUGAUUAAAAAUACCCCUAUACGAAAUUAAAUAAGUUAUCGGUUAUGAUUUUCAAAGUGAAAAUUCAACCGGUUAUCGUAUAAGCUAGUCUUUGAGUGCGUGGCUGUCCACUUUGUAAUAGUCAAUUCGGAGCAACCAAGUUGAGAUAAAGCGUGAAUCGGGAUUGGAUUAUUUGGAGUGAUGCGUCAAGGACACUCCUUAAAUUGAGUGACCAACGACUUUGACUAAGAGAGUUUCUCCCAGGUCAACACUCUAUUCUUUCUCUCCGGUGUAUGCUGUUUGUCCACACACAGUUCAUCCACUUCCCAGUGAGUGUACGUGGCCGGGUUGACCCGGUUUAGGUUUUUUAUCGACCCAACUCAUUAAAUUCGGUUUAUUAAUUUCGAACCCAAUCCAUUAAAAUUAAUUUAUAACCCAACCUAAUUUGUCAUACUUCGGGUUGGGUUGGUUUGGGUCGGUUUGACGGGUCACUAAAUACUAAAGGGCCGUUUGGGUGAGCUUAAAAUAAGUGCUUCUUACUUAAAAUAAAAAAGUGGAGUAAAAGUUAGAAUCAAAUUAAGACUUAUAAGUGAUUAAAGUGUUUGGGAAAUAAGCAGAAACUCUGAAACAAAAGCUAACAUUCCUAACUUUUUAUAAGUGCUUCUUGACUUUUUACACAAACGGUACGAAUAAGUGCUUCUAACUUAUAAACCAGAAGCCCGACUUUUAAGCCGGAAACAAACACCCACUAAAUCGUAGUUUUAAAAUUGCUACACAAUUUAUAAAUUAUAGAGCAUUAAAACAAGUUCGGACUUUUAAAGAAUAUUAGCUUCACUAUCGAAUUCUCAAAGGCAAGUAGACGAAUGACACAUGUGCAGGGAAGAUAUUUUAAAGAAAACUUGAGGAAUAAGAUACCAAUGUUAUAAUUCAAUUUUAUCACACUAAUGUUAUAACUAGCUUCUUAACUCGUGCAAUGCACAGGCUGUUUUACAUUAUUUUUUUGUUAUAGGUUCAUCUCUUUUAAAUUGAGAGAUAAUAAUAAUAAUUAAGCCUGAAAUACGACUAACCGCUCUAACCGUUCUCUUAUUCUUCUCUCCCAAUCUUCAAGAUUUCGUUCAUCUUUUCUUUCGACUUUGUGCGGCACAUGUAAUCACAUGUUUUGGAAAUUUGUGGAGUUUAGUCGCAUUCACUAUGCCAUAUACAUUGCACACUUUUUUCUUGGUGAAUGAGUCACUUGUUUUGAAUCUUGCAAAUUGAUGUUGUUUUAUGAGGGAGUUUCGAAUGUUUAAACAAUUCCUAAUUGAUUUGCUCUCCCGCUCGAGGGCGCUUUCAUGGCAUUGUCAUUUGAGAAUUAUUGUGGUGUGUCUGCUAUCAAAUGGUUACGGUGUAGCGGUUGUCAAAGCGACGCAAUCGCCAAGGUUGUCUGAGGGAGUUUCAAUGAAGUCAUUCCGAUGGAAUGCAGUGCGAUCAAAGUAGUGAGAGUCCAUGGAGUUGUUCUUGGUAUAUUAGUGAAAAUGGGUUUAGAGAGGUCUUCAUCGGUGUUAAUGUGCAAAUCAUUGUAAGAUUUCAAGAUUUUGGGUUCCAAUUUGGUUGGCACCCGAUCUCUUCUCCCAAGCUUUCAACUUUGCAAUCCGUGUAAGUAAUGGUUCUUGAUUUCUCCGUUUGUUUUCUUCAAUGGACUUCACCACUUAAACCGAGAAAUUUUUAAGUAAGUCCCAUGUGAAGAAGGCCAUGGGCUAAAGUAUUGUAGUUAUAUUGUAUCACACACAAUUUUAUUUAUUAUGCACUAAGCCGGGGGUCUCACAGAAACAACCUCUCUACUUUAAGGUAGAGGCAUGGUCUGCGUAUAUUUUAUCCUCUUCAGACCCUGCUCUAAGCGGAAUAUACUGAACACGUUUGGUUUGGUUUGGUUCUUUUAAAUUGAGAUUAUUUAUAUUAUAAAAGUAAUUUAUAUUGUAUAUUUAUUUAUAUUUUAAGUCAUAUUAUAUUGAUAUCCAUAUGUACACAUAUCCUCACUAUGAUAUUUAUUAAUAUAUAAAUACAAAAAAUAUACACAGUUUAAAAUUUUAUUAUAUAAUUAAAUUACCACCCACCUAAAAUUAUUGAAAAUUUGAUAAAAGAAAUGAGAUUUUUGCUGAAUCAGAGCCCUUGUCAUAUAGUUAUAUAUUAUAUUUAUACUUAUUCUAAUAUAUAUAUAUAUAUAAUUUUUUUUAAUCAUAAUAAUUAAAUAUUCUAAAAACCGGUUGGUUGACUGAUUAAUCGAUAAUCAGAAGGAUUUUUAAUCCGAUUUAGUAAAAUUCGGUUAAAUCGAUGAUUAUUUGGUCAAAACUUGAUCAAUUCGAUGAAAAUCAGGUUGAAUAUUAAAUUUUACAAAAUUUGUGGGGUAAAUUUAAAAAUUUAAAAAUGAUUAUAUAUAUUAUUAAAUUAUUUUAAAAUAAUGAUCAUGUUAAUAUUUAUACUGAGUAAGGGUAGAUUAGUCUCUUUGAAUUAUAUUACUCAUUAUUGUUGUGUUAGAUAUAUAAUAGAAUUUGACAAAAUUCGGUUAAAAUCGAUGGCUAAUUGGACAAAAAUUGGAUUAAUUGGUUGAAAAUCAGGCCGAAUAUUAGAAUUUACAAAAUUAUUUAUUUAUUAUUAAAACAUAAAUAUAAAUAUAUAAUACAUACAUAUAUUGGAGUUUUAAAUAUGAAGCAAUUAUUAUUAAAACAUAAAUACAAAUAUAUAAUACAUACGCCCUCCGUCCCACCAGGAUUGUUUGCACGCAUUUUGAGCCUCUUAUAAAGUAUAGUUCAAUAAUGUUUUUUUUAAUUUUUUUUUGAAUAAAAGUUUAAAUGUCAAAACUUUUUUCAGGAUUUUUUUUAAAAUAUAUAUAUGAUGUAAGUAUUAUAUACUUAUAUAUAAUAAGCGUAAGGGAGAUAAUUUGGUCGCAUGGUCCUGUGGUCCAAAAGCUUAUCAUCAGUUGGAUCGUAUAUUGAACAAAUAAGCACCGUUAGAUUAGAACAAAUUAAAUUAUGUAUAAGAAAACUGAUAUCUACUUGCAUGUUAAUAAUUUUUUUUCUGAAUCCAAAAUAAAUUUUGUCUUUCAUGUGUUUUUGGUUUUUUUUUAAUUCAAAAUAAAUAUUUCUUACAAAUUUUAAUUGUAGAAUCAUAUAAACCGCACCGUCACAAAAUUAUUUUUAUCCAUCGGAUUGUAUAUUGAACAAAUAAGCACAUUUAGAUUAGAACAAAGUUAACUUCAGUUCCAUAAGACAACUGAUAUUUACUUGCAUAUUUAUAAUUCCUUUUCUGAAUCCAAAAAAAAUUCUGUAUUUCAUGUGUUUAUGAUUUUCUUUAAUCCAAAAUAAAUAUUUUCUACCAAUUUUAUUUUUAAAAUCAUAUAAACCGCACCGUCACAGAAUUAUUUUUAUCUAAUAUAUUUUAAAAUUAAUAAGACUGAUUUAUGUGAGGAACGAAUACAAAAUUUUUUUCUUAAUCCAAAACAAAUUCUACCAUCUUAUUGCAUGUUUAUGAUUCAUCUUCUUGAUUCAAAACAAAUUGUGUUUAUCAAUUUUAAUCUCGAACCAUAAAAAUUUUUAGAAAAAUAUUUAAAUCACAUUAUAAUAAUUCUAAUAUAAAAUAAAUUUAUAAAUAUAAUCUAAUCGGAGUUGUCGUCACAUAUUGUACUUAAAAUAAUUUAAAAUUUGAUAGAAAGAAUUUAAUACUUUGGCAUGAUACAUAGAAUUUUAAUUUAUUAUUUAUAAAUUAAUUUUUAUACAUCAUUUAAAAUAUAUUUAAAAAGUGUAUAAAUAAUUAAAAAGCUCCCGUGCCUUGCACGGGCUAUAAGCUAGUACUUUAUAAAAGUCUUAAAAUGCGUGCCAAAAAGUAACGUAAAGAACCUGUUGGGACGGAGGGAGUAUAUAUAUUGGAAUUUUAAAUAUGAAGUAAUUUAAUGUAUAUUAAUGGUUAGACAUUAAUGUCUAAUAAAUACAUUAGUGUUAAAAGUCAAUAAUGACCUUUAUAUAAAAAAGUGUAUUUUAUAGUCACUUUGAAUAAAAUUACUCAAGUUUGUUGUAUUAUAUAUAUAAUAGAUUUCAAUUGGGUAGCUAUAUUUUAUAUAUAUACAAUUUUGUUAGAUAUAUAUAUUAUAUAUAUAAUGUAUUUUUAUUAAAAUACCUUCGGUUUGGGUUGAGUUGGCCAAAUAAAAUUUAAAAUCAUGCCAACCCAUUAAAAUCGGGUUGGAGCAGAUUCAACCCAAUCAAAAAACGGUUUAAAACUUUCGGUUUAGUUCGACCGAAAAUAAAGCCGGUUUGGAUCGGUUUAAACGGUUUGGGCAACCCAUGUACAUCCCUCCCUUCCCACAGAUGAUAAAUACUGCUACUGCUUUGGUGAUUUGACAUGCAGUCAUGCAUUUAUAUGUUUCGUGUAGUUAAAAUUGUACAGUAGUAAUCUUUGACUUACUUUUUUCUUUGCUAAAAUUUCAUUAAAAAAUAUUAAUAUUUUAAUAUAUCUGACAAAAAAUUAGUUUAAAAUAUAUUAGUUAAUUAUAUGUUCAAAUUAUUUAAAUUAUGCUCACAAGUCUCAACUGAACAAUUUUUUUGCUAAAACUUGGAUUUUGCUUUAAAAUACUACUCUUCGCAAGGAAACAAGAUGCACUUGGUUAGUUGGAACUUGGAAGUGGCCAGAAACUGAUGUCAGUUUGUCUCGCAAAAAGUGUUUAUUAUUUAUACGUGAAAAAUUAAUUAUAAGUGAAAAAUAAUUUUUAAUUUAUUUGUUUGGAUAUUUAUAAUUUAUCAGAUAUAAAAAUUAUUAAUAUAAUACUAAAAUAUUAUAAACUAUUUUUUAAAAUGAUCCUAUUCAUUUUUGUAAAAUCAAAUUUCAAAAAAAAUCACUAAAAAAACCAGAAUUUUCAACUUUCUAAUAUUCCGACUUAUAAGUCGAGAAUUGACCUAUUGAUUUUUUAUACAAACAAUACAAAUAAGCUAAUUCUAACUUAUAAGUCUAAAAACUCCAAAAAAAAACUCAGCCAAACAGACGCUAAAUAAGUUAAGACGGUGUUGCCCGUGUUUACAUCCAUGAUAAAAAUAUGUAUUUUUGUUGUUCCUUCCGUUUCAUUUACACUCCUUUAAUGAAAAUAUCAUAUAUAUAUUGAUAAACCAUAAAUAUGAUGUUUUAUUCUCAUUUUUAUCAUUAAAAUUGUAUCAAUUAUACAAGAAUAUGAUUAAAUUUUAUCAUAAUUUGUAUGAUAAUUGUUAAAAAUUAUAUGAGUUAAUGAAAUUCAAUAUUGAAAAUAAAAUACAAAUUAUAACAGACAAAAAAGAGGACAAAAAUUAUAAUUUUUUACAAAUAAUACAAUUAAAACAAUCGUGAUCAUACUAGUAGGUUGAUAGACGCCUGGGCGGCUCGUCAACGGGAAAGAUUGCUGCUGAUUUAGCUGAAGCAAUCACUUUUAAGGAAUAAGGAGGCCAUGGGUUUGAUUAACAGAUUCUCUAAUCCUGUGUUGAUUUGUUUUUGUCCGUUGAAAUUACUUCUGAUGCUUGUAGUUGGGCCAGUUGUCCAGCAGCUUUCAAAGUUUCAAAAUAGUCCCGGUUUUUAUAGAUUCAAUGUCCUGGGUCCAUUAAUUUUCUCCUUUCCAAGAAAUACACACAUUAUUUUCAAUUUUUUUAUGAAUAAAAGUGUAACAUUUAUAUUUUUAUUUAGAAAAAAAUAAUUUAGUAUAAAACAAGUAUUAUUUAGGAACCGAGGGAGUACUAAAAUUUGACUCGUCAAUGAUCCAGGCCCGGGGGUGCCGAGGGAGUACUAAAAUUUGACUCGUCAAUGAUCCAGGCCCGGGGGUGAUAAAGAGUAAAUUUAGAGAUCAACAUAAUAAAGAUGAAACUAACAUGAGUUGCCAGAUUUCAGACUACUGAAUAAACUUCCAAGAAUGCGAAAAAUGAUAGCACGAAACAAAGUUCAGGUACACAGUUAAAUGCAGCUAUUAAAUAUUCUAGACAUGUUAAAUCCAGGAAGCAUGUUGAGAUAUCAGCUCCAGUCUUGCUGCACUAAGUGAGGCUUCAUGGUUUUAUUGCAGUCUUUGCCACUCUGUAACUAAUUAUGUAAAAGAUGGUAUGGAGGGGUCGUAAAACUCACGAUGCUGCGGUUUACCACGAAAGCAGAUUUGAUUUAUCAGUGGCCUUUUAUGCGCAAAUGCUGGUUUGUGAAGCACAUUUGGCGUCUCAUCGCCCAGAACUGAAUUAGAACAGGAUGCUUCUGCAACAAUUUCAUUCUCAACGUACAUGCCCUUUUGCUUGUCCCAAUAAUAUGGCGAAGAAGUGGCUGGGGACUUUGAGAAGGAGCAAGAACGCGUUCUACGCGUGGCAUUGAAAUGUGGCAUAGUCUGCAUAACACCGUGAACUAAGCCUGAUGCAAAUUUCUUUUUGGCAGUGGGACUUGGGGCGUUGCUCCUUACUGAAAGCGCGCGCUUGUGGUUAGGGAGUGAAGAAGGUUUUGAGUAUUUUGAUCGAAGUGAAACAGGGACUUCUUCUGAGCUGGUGACUGAAUUUUCAUCUACUGUUUUUUCCAGGGGCUCUGGCUCGGGCUUGGAUUUUCUCUUCCUCAUCUUAGGCCAGUGGAGGAAGCGUCUCCAACGCUGAGAUGCAUCAGUCCCAGAACCUGAUUUAAUAUUUAUUUUUGGGCUCUGCUUCUCUGAAAUCAAAACAUGUUUAUUCGGUUGUGCCAACUCAGGGCUCAACCUUGCACUGCCACAGGCAUUUGAUCCUUUGUCAGUGACCAUCUGUGAGAGUAUUUCUGAGUCGGGGAUUUCAAAUGAAGUUCCUGGACUGCUUUCAAUACUUCGCAUCCUUAAGUGGGAAGCAAUGACUUUUCGUGCUGAAUGAUCUUGGCAAUUAAAGAUACCUCCGGCUGAAAUCAGCUGCCUAGUAAGGAUUUCUGAUGAUGCAGAGCGUGGGCGUUGUUUAAGGAGAUCAAGAGCCGUCAUCCCAUCAUUAUCACAUAUGUUGACAUUGAUUGAGUGAGCAGUCAUUAGUAAUUCCACCAGAUCAGUAUGAAUGUUCCCAAUUACGGCCAAAUGGAGAGCAGUUCUCCCAUCAUUAUUCUUCGCAUUAAUGAUUUCCUCAAUGACAAAAUUGUUGCCACGCGCCAAGUUCUUCAUGAGCUCAAUCUGACGGUCCACUCUCCGAAAUAUAGGGAUUUGGAAACCAGCCACAGCCCUGUGUAAGAAUGUUUCUCCAGCAUUAUUUUUUGAGUACAUGGAUGGCGGAGAUGCAUGCAUUAAAACCUCAACUGCAGCUAAUUGACCCCUGUAAGCAGCCACAUGCAAAGAUGUGUUUCCCUGAUUGUCUACUGAGUUAAUGAUAUCAGAACUUGUUAUAAGAUCUUUAACUACCUGCAUUCAGAAUCAUAUUCGUCAGAAUGGACUAUCUACAAAUGAAGUAAGUAGUUUCUCAACCAUGUGUAUCUAAAUAUCUAAAGCGCAUUAACCUAUAAUCUGGCGCAACCUUUAACAGCCAUAGAACUUUAGUUUGAUAUAAUGCUACCUUGAUUUCCAAGAACUAAUUAAUGUCAAUAAUUGGUCUAUCGUUCCAACUUCCAAGUCAGAACAAAUUGUAUAUACUUUUAAAGUUCCCUUGCAGACUGGGAACAUGGAUAUUGCUGGUUUCUGGACACUAAUAUGUUAAAGUAAAAAGUUAAGUAAUUAUCACAACUAAAGAAACCAGCUAACAAGCUUAUAUCAGGCAAAAUAUUGUUGCAUUUUCUGACUUUAGGAAAAAGGUUGAUGCAAAUUAGGUGUGUAUCUUUAGAAUAACUCUAAAAGCAAUUUCAACAUAGGUUGCCAAAGAAAAUUCAAAAGACAACAUAGAAGGUAAAGGCUUACCUCAACUUGACCCCGACCAGCAGCUGCGUGUAAAAUAGUUGAGCCCUCAUUAUCUCUAUACGUCAAUAUAUCAGAGCAACAUUCCAAAAGAUCCUUUAGGAUCACCAAGUUACCUCCUCUAGCAGCAGCAUGUAUAGCUCUAUUAAUCAUCUCUCUUCUAUAUGCAGAAGGGAUCUCCCCAAUGUGUUCGGUCUCUUUGUCAUUACCUAUAAAUAAUCUAGGCAAAAGAGCAAAGUCAAGAAGCAGCCUAAAAAUCUCUGAAUUCUUACUCCUGGCUGCAGCAUAUAACACAUCAGUGACACCAUAUUCUCCUUCUCCGAAAACCAUAAGAGGGUCUAUUUUAAGCAAUUUCUUAACAAAAUCCAUAUCCCCAGCCGAGGCAGCCGUAUACAUAAGCCAUCCACCAUAGCCAGCUUCAAUGAGGGAGUUUUUAGACCCAUUGGUCUCACAUUCACAAAAAAGCUUAUGUGCAACCUCAGAGCGAUUGCGCGAAACAUGAUCAAAGUGUUCAUCAUCAUCCCAAACACUCUCAAGGCGGUGAAUCCUACGAAGAGAGGUAAGCUUGAUAAGAUGAUUGGCAUCAAGGCGCAGAAGCUGGCGGACCAAGUCAUAAUGUCCAUUUGCAGCAGCCCAAUCAAUAGGGGAAGCAUACCACCAUUGAUCUCCGGUACCCUCCCACCGCAGAGGAAAGUCUGUAGAAGCCAUCUGAAGCGAAACAACAAAAAUCAGUUUUAUGGUACAAAACAAAACAUAUUCUCGCAAAAAUUAAUGGUCUCAUAAUAUUUAACUCAAUAGGACCAUACCCAAAUAUAGUUCCUCAACCAAAAAAACAAUACAAACAAAAGGAUUGAACCAAUUGUUGUGCCUACUAAAAUUAUACCUGAUCAACAAAUAAAGAUGCUAGCAAGUAAACAAUAAAGGAGUCUAGCAUAGGAGAUUCAACAUAUUCUAAAGAACUAUAUAUUGUGAAAUCAUGACAGACAAGCAGCAUGCAGCAUGUGAAAUCAAGAACCAAGGUGCAAGAUCAAAAGGGCAGAAUGAGAUUUGCUCAGUUGGAGAAAUGAUGACAUCUCUAAAGCUAUGUACUUAUAAUAUUGAGCCUUUAGAGCCCUGAAAAGCUGAUAAAAAAUAAUGAUAAUAACAUAAUCAAAAGUUAAAUUGAAAAAGAUUACCUAUUACAGAAGAUGUCAAAAUCAGAUGGCCAUACUUAAGAACAUGAUCAACUAUUAAUCACUGAAAAAACAAAACAUAGAGCUGCUUAAGUAUUCCCUACACAAAGGGCAGUAUGAGUAAAGAGCAAAAAUAAAAAUUUGCAUCAACUGCAUGUUAAUUUAUAAGAGGAGAGAAGAUUGAGUAAAAUUUAAAAGAUAUGUACAUAGGGAAGGUUAUCAGAUGGGGUUGCAGGAAAAACUAAAAGAUGUAGAAGAAUCGUGUAUAUGAAGAGAUGACAAAGAUGAAGUUUAAGUGCAUGAUGAUGAAUUUGAUGGAGUCGUAUGUUAUUUAGUAUUGAAUUUAUAAUAGAUUCUUUCAGCUAGUCUUUGCCUAGUGCGCCAAAAAUAGAUGCGACAAUUUAAUAUAUUUGGUUCGGGUUCGGUCCAUUACAUAUUCUUUGUAUCAUCUAAUUUUGAGAUAAUUGCAAGGCACAUUUUAUUCUUCGGAUCAAUUGUAUUUAGAUAUCCUAAUUUUAGAUAAUUGUUUAACAUAUCUAGUAUUAUAUUAUAUUUUGGUGUCGCGUUUUGAACUUUUUUGAUAUAUUUUUAUCUAUUUUGAUCUAUCAACAUGAAAAAUAAGAAAAAUGACUUAAAUUUAAGAACUAACUAAAAUAUAAUAUUAUUGAAUCCUAAAUCUAUUUUAUUCAUGAUAGGCUAAAAUAGACAAAAAAAAAUAAAAAGUUCUAACAUGACAAUAAAAUGUAUUGAGAAAUUGAAAAUUUAGGUAAUCAAAUUCAGUUAGAUCAAAUUAAGAAUAUGUUUUGUAAUUAACUUUUUGAGUAAUUUUUAUAAAUUAUCUCUCAAUUUUUUAAAUCCUUUCUGGGAAAGUCGUUAAUCGAUAUGCAAAUGUCAGCGUGCAAGAAUGUAAGAGAAAAUACUUGGCAAGUUGGCAUGACGAAGUAUGUUGGCAUGUUUAGCUGCGCCAGGUCAACAAACGUAAUAUUUUAAGCACAAGGUCAUUAACAGUUUAGCACGUACUAAUUCAGAAGCAGAAUGUACAUGUAAGACUUGUUUAACGUCAUAAUAAAUCCAAGAAAAAUGCACGUCCACAGGAUUGAUUGGAUACAAAAUUGUGUACCGGAGAGAUUAGGCUAGUGGCAGACAAGCUUUACACAGCUCAUUCUGUACAGAAUUUUGUAUCCAAUUCUGUGAACGCAAUAUUUCUCUAAAUUCAAAGUAUCCGCAAACUUUGAAAAUUGCAUGGUACUUUAUAUUACACAAGUUUUGUCCGAAAUGAUCGUUCUCGAUUCUUCAUAAGAUAUCUAACAUUUAGGAGAGUCCAGAAUGUGGUUAAUUUGGUGGAUUGGGAAGUCCUGAAUGGGGAGAACUGGACCAAACUUAUCCUAUGGGUAUGGUGUAAAGAGAGAAGUGGACAUGGCCAUGUGAGUAGUAGUGGUAGUGGUGGCUUUUAACUUUUUUCAAGGAUUGGACCAAGUGAUCCAUUGCAGAAAGUGAUCUCAAUAGCCUGCUUUUAUCAAAUAAUAAUGUGCAUGCGAUUCUCAAACUUACUUCGACUUUUAGUUGCAUGUUAUGUAAUACUACACUUUCUACUUCAACAUUUGUUAAACUUUGAGGAUAUUCAAUUUCUUCGAUAGGUGCAUAUUCUAGAAUAUGUAAGUGAAUCAUAUUGGGUUUUUGAGCUUUUUUUCCUAAAAUUAUGCGUUAUUAUACAUAUACUUAUUAUUAUUUACAUAUAUUUUAUAGUGAAAUUCGGAUCAAAACUAUCAAUUCAAAUUUUUGUUAAUAUUUGAUAGUAUUCAUUCAAGUUGAAUUAUUAAAAAAUAUUACUUUUAUCAAGCAUUGAACUUGAAAAUGAUGAAGCUGGAUUUUUAAUUGAAUUCGAUUAAUUUGUGAUAGUUCGACUCACAACGACAUGAUUACACCAAAUGUUAGAUCUGAUAUGAUUCCGAACUCAAAAUCGUAUCAUGUUCAUAGUAUGAGUAUUAUAUUUUACCAUUUCACUUAAUUUUUUUUAUGUAUAUAUAAUUCGAUGUCCACAUCAGUGUUUGCGCACCUCUACUAAUCCAAAAAACUGCUAGUACAUUUGUACCUACUGAGCAUCACCGUCUAUUUACUUUUGUGCCCCCAAAAAUCGAACCUAUAACUUUGAAAUGGUAAGUCCUAAAGUUACGGUCUCAACCAACUGGGACACCCGUGGUGGACUUAAUUCAUCUUGGCAGAUUAUCAAAUUAACAGGUCAGAACAGUUGAAUCGAACUGCCAAGAAACCUGGUGAAGUUUGGUGCUAAAGUAUGUGAUCUUAACAAAGAUUUGAGAACAAUUCCGGAAAAACACAAUCGGUAUAAGGGAAGAUAUGUAAAAACAUGGGUGCUACUUUAGAAUUGUGCAUGUUCAUGAAGAGGCCUUAUCUGGCUUUAUGAAAUGGAAUAGUAUAUUGUUAAAGUUGUUUCACAUGGACAGCCAGAAAGAUGGAUAUGACAGGCACCAAUGUGGGAUACCCAUAGCCCCCCUCUAUAGUUCGGCAAAGACAAGACGAGACGAAGCAUGAUCAAUUCAGGAAACUGGCCAGAACCAAACAGUUUCUGCCCACUAUUUGUAGAUGUGUAAAUCAUCUAAGCAGCUUAUGCGGUCUGAAUCGAUAAAAUUUAUUCCUCCGUGCCAUUCAUUUCUUAAUAUUUCGGGACACACAUUUUGAAUCUUUUAUAAAAUAUAGUUUUAAAAAUAAUUUUAAAUAUUGUUCCUUCUAAAUAAAUAUUAAUAUUUAAAUAUUAUUCAGAAAAAAAAUAAAAAUGAGUUACGAAAGUAUUUUGCAAUUCUCUGCUUAAAAUACGUGUGAAGCAGCGAAAACGGAACCUUAUUUCUCUAACAGACAGACACGAAGCAGGAAAUUUAAUAGAGACAAGCUUAAUUCGGAUAGUUCCUCUAUCUGCGAAACAUGAUAGAGUGGGAAGAUACACAAAUCGGGCUUCAUCCCAUAAUAUAACAAACCAAACACGACGAAAGGCGAUUAAUUGAAUAUCAAAGUGGGAAAGAUGGCCCUGAAGCAAUAAAAGAGAGAAAAAGAUUAGAAGUACAUAGCUUUGAGUGGAUGCAUAAUAGAACGAUGAUGAUUUACCCCACACCACUGGGCUCAAGUUAGCUAGCAAGUUGGGGAGCACAAGAUGGUGCCUUGGUCCAGUCUUGAAACAAUCAUAGUUUAGCCUGUCAACUAUGAAGAAAAUAGCUUUAUCAAUUCAAUGUUACAAAGAUAAAUAGCUGAAUAUUGGAUAAGAUUGAGGUCUAUCCAUUUCAUUCUCGCUUCCUCUUGUGUUUCUGCACUCAGGUAUCAAAAC
rnacentral:lncRNA from 1 species